CUGAGUCUUCUAUUUGUGAGCACUCCUUAUUUACCAUGUUCUGUUUCCAAGAACAGAUAGCGUUCACCUGUUAUGGUCUGCCAAUUUUUGUGUAUACUGCAAAAUGAGCAGCUUCGGCACCUUUGUUCCUAAGUUAUGUUAUACUCCGCGGUUUAGCACAUGCCUCCUUCCUAAGAAAUUGGGAUAGAGAAAUUUCCCAUUGCAUCAACUGCAGUUGCUUCAGUUUUCUAACUAAGUUCAUUUAUGCAGAUCUGAGCUCGCUUGCUAGUUGUUUUGGUCUUGCUUGGGCGAUCUACACCUGGGGUUGGAUGGCGGAUGUUCAAGAUUGUCAUGUUGUGGUUUGACAUGUCUGUAUUAGUAUGAAUGUAAGCAGGAUAUGCUGUCAGCAAGUUGAGUUUGACCAACACUGAGGUCUAAGACUCCGGUUUAUAUUAUGUACUGAUGUUUGUGUUGCAAGACUUCGGCUUAUGUUCCCUCUUUUAAUCCAUGUCCUUGGUCUAGAUGAACUAGCUUUUAUCUGCAUGAGUGAAUGAGUUCAUCUGUAACCCCUUGUAGAUGAACUGAGCAUGGAUGUUUUGUGCAAAUGAGGACUGGCUGUAAUAGAGGUGGAUAUCAUACAAACAUCAACUUCCAGAGCUUCAGGUUUCUCACAAAGAUGUGGUCCUCUAUCAAACUUGAGGUUUCUCUCUACCUUGCCCACAAAUUUGGCAGCUGUUCUAAAUUUUCUAGACCUGUGGCUAGGUGGUUCAGGAUCCUCCACGCGCCUAGGUGGCUAGGUAGUAUAAGUUGGGAACUUAUGACUAGUAUAAGUUGGUAUUUGUUGCGAGGUGGAUGUGGAGUACCAAAAUGAGUUAGUCAAUUUCUGAGCACAUAUGAGUGCCCUGUAUUUGCGAGUUCGGUGCAGUUUUAUGCUUAUCUACUCCUAUUCUGGUACCGGAGCAAAUAACUUUUCCCAAGUGUAGUUUCUGAAUCUAAACUGUCCUAUAAUCCCUUCCUUCCUGUUUCGCUUGCUUUUCAUCAAAAUACUGGCUAAUUAUGUUCGUGGCGGCAAUGGCAUUGGGACCUUUAUAAGCUUAUACGAUGGGGACCUUUUUCCUCCGUCCAUCUUGUGCUCUCUAACUAGUGCUUGUAUCGAUCUAUUGUAGGUCUGUCAAUGACAUAUUCAUGGCAUGGAUAUUGCUGUGAAGUGGACGAGCAUGAUAUUUUGUGGAUUUUGUGUCCAUUCACGAGUUCAAUGCAUUUAUGUUUAUCUAUUCCAAAAUCUGGCACCGAAGCGAUAACUUUUCCAAGUCGAUAAAUAACUACACCCCUACUGCGGCUCAUCUAAAAUGUCGUCCUAUUUGUAACCCCUUCCUUUUUUGUAUCAGUCGCUUUUCAUCAGAAUAAGCAUUGGUUACUGACUACUCGUUAUAUAUGUUUGUGCCUAGGCAAUGGCAUUGGUGAUGGUCACAGUGAAGGUAAAGCAUUGGAUAAUUCUCCUAUAUAAGAUGUUCUUUUCUCCUAAUGGGAUAUUCAUCGCUGGUUGCUAUGCCGUGGUGUCUGAAAAGACAAGUGGACCUCAAGUUUUUUUAUGCUCUUGGUGGAUAUUUAUCUGAGCUGGUUUACUGUUUCAGACUGCGGUUUUGCUUGAUUGUUUUUUCCUCUCAUGGAAUGGAAGCAUUAGAUAGCCCUUCCUGUGAUUCAUAAGGCGCUCGCCCUAUUUUUCCAGGUUGAUCGAUGGUGGUAACUGUAUACACCUAUUCCAAUAGCUAGAUUCAGAAACUAUAUAUGCUUUGGCACUAGACUAGACAUGAAUAAUAUUGUUGGUCAUUCUGCGUUGCUGGAAGGCUUAACUACUGCGACAUGAUCGAGCCCCGAUCGAUGCUUACGAACAUCGUGUGGUCGUUUAUUUAUUUUGUCAGACUGAUGUUAACUCUGUUGGAAGUCAAAGUGUGACUCCUUGAUGAGACGUUCAUGAACUAUUUACAAUUGAGAGGGGUGGGGGGGAAGGCCCUUGAAAGGGGAAUUUGGCAUCUAUAGGUUGAUUUUCAUGACAUAUAUAGUUCGCUAGCUAAAAUGGUAAAAAAAAUGAGAAAAAGGAGGGGCAUUCCGAGAAUUGAACUCGGGACCUCUCGCACCCUAAGCGAGAAUCAUACCACUAGACCAAAUGCCCUUUGACGCAGAUUUUAUUUUGGGAACACAAUAUCAAGGGUGGUCAUUAUUAGACCAGCCUCGGAUAAAAAUUCUGCCGAGCCCCAAAACGUUUAUCAUUUAUGCGCCUGAGUCGACCGGUCAGUGAUAAUGCUCAUCACUGACGCGUGGUUAGUGGCCCAUCAAUGAUAAGGUGUAAGUGGUUCUGAAUCUAUAGUAGUGAGAUGUUGUGACGGCUCGGUAUCUUGGAAGUACUGAUAUGGAUAUCGUGUGUGUCUGUGUUUAAAGGGGUGAGUGUAUGUGUGUUGCUGGAUAUGUCGUGGUUUUACUAUCAAAGUCAUUCAACCUUUUGUAUUUAUUUUCUAUGUUCUUUUGUGGGGCACAAAGCAUGGCAACGUAUCUUGUUUUGUUUAUCUCAUCUUAGUCCACAACUAACCAAACAUAGCAACCUUUUGAUAGAUGAAUGGAUUCUUUCUUUUUCAUGUAUUUUCUGGUCUCCUUUUUGGGCCGGUUGGUUGAAUACUUUGAAAAUCUUAGUAGUAUGAGAGUUAGUGCAAUAGGAUUUGAGCCUGUUCAUUUUUUAUUCUUUCCUCCGAGCUUUCUUUGUUCCUUCCAGCGAUGUGGUUUUUGUGUGAGUAUUUUUACUUGUUUCGUACAAAAUUAGUGUCUUUAUGGGCCUGACCGAUAGGAGCAAGGCUUGUGUUCGGUCCAUUCAUUUGCACGGCUUGAUGGGCUUAGAAAGUUGUCAUUAUGUCGUGUGUGAAGCGUUCGGGUGCAAGCGGACACAUCACGGGGAAACCACUAGCACCCGUAUGAUAUGUCUCGCUCCCGUCAUAUGGGGGAACGGUGAUGUGCUAUCACGUCCAAGUUAGUAGGUUUAAAUUGACGGCAAAUUUAUAGAUGAGCACAAUUAAGGUCGGGUCAGAGAUCUGCUAGAUAUUCGAUCGCGUUCACAAGUACUAAAUAAGGCAAUCUUCUUUGUACCUAUCACAAUAAACUCUUACCAAAUGACGGUGAUCCCUCCACUAUAAAUCUACCCCUCCUCCCUCGCCGAAACCAGCAACUUUCUUUUCCUUCGCUGGUUUUAUCCUCUUGCCAGCAAUGGUUCACAACGUGACCCCUCCAGUACAUCCCCGAUGAAUCGACCCGGUGCCAUAGAUUCAAGAAGCGCUUCAAAGGCCUAAUGAAGAAGGUGGACGAACUAGCCAUCCUGUGCGAUGUCAAGACCUGCAUACUGGUGUACGACGAGGGCAAGGCGGCGCCGGAGGUGUUCCCUUCCCGGGCCGAGGCGGUGGAUAUCCUGAAUCAAUUCAAAAGCAUGCCAGAGUUGGGGCAGUGCAAGAAGGUGAUUAACCAGGAGGGCUUCACCGCCAAGCGCAUUAACAAGCUCCGGGACCAGGUCGACAAGACCCGCCGCGAGUGCGAGGACGGCGAGAUCAGGUACCUCCUUCACAAAACCAUGCAUGGCGACCACUCAGGCCUCGUUGGCCUCAACAUCAAGGAGCUCACCAGAGUUGGCUACAAGGUGGACAUGCUUCUCAAGAGCAUCAGUGAACGCAUGGCAAAAAUCCAUUCCCAGGUGCCGCCGCCAACUCCAUGUGUCACCACCGACAUCAUUGACAUGGGGUCUCCAGUGUUGUAUCCGACACCACCUCAGCAGCAGGAGGGCCGGCCUGACAUGGUGAGCUCCGCAGGGGACCUCGACACCCUGGUCUAUAGUGGCUAUGCCGGCGCCAACUUCUCUAGCAGUGAUAUGAUGCAGAUGUUGUCCUUUGAUAUGGGGUUCGGUUCUAGUCAUUCCCCUCCCAUGUAACCAGGAGGCCAGCUACAUGCGCCGAUCUCAUCUCAUUUUUAUUUGGCUUUGGUGGUUAGGACGAGACAUUGAGUUAAUUUCUUGAAAUUCCUAUAUUCGUCUAUGAGCUUCGUUGUAUUCAUCUUGUUCUUUGAGCCAAAUCAUAUUUAACUCCAAUGUAAUCAUUGAAAUUGUUAUUCAGUUGAUCUCUUCCCUAGAUUGUUUGUUUGAUCUCUGUUGUUUAGUUGGUCCUAAAUCUUGAGUUGCACCUAUUUUUUUGUGUCGGCGCCUUGUUUUUUUAAUAAAAACUUUCAAUCUAUUCGUCAUCAAUCAUGAUAGUACAAUAAAUACCAAAAAUAAUAAAAAUUACAUCCAGAUCCGUAAACCGCCUAGUGACGGCCACAAACACUGAAGCGAGCCAAGGCAUGCCGCUAUCAUCGCUCCUCCCUCAAUGGAGCCGGGCAAAACUUAUUGAAGUAGACAGUCGGGAAAUCGUCGGUCAGCACCUUGUUUUCUCAGGCAUAGUUGCACCCGCUACGUGAUAGACAAUUGCUUUUAAUUUCAUGCUAUUUUUGGUGUAUGUUUUUUCGGGAAAGAAGUGAGUUGAAGAUUUGUUCUCCUAGAGCCAGCUAAAUUUGAUGGAUGAUUAAUAUUUUCCUGGAUAAAUAUUUGUGAACUAGUUACCUUUUGUGACUUAAUUACAUGAUGACAGCUCGCUACACGCAAACAUCAGAAAUAGCCAUGCUCUACAUUGUGCUCUCCUUAGUUGGAGUCAUGUUCUCUAUUCGUCAGAACGUUCUUUGUUCUUUAGACCCACAAGAGGAUAACAAAAGAGCUCGUGUGUUGCAACAUGAUAAAAAAUAAAACACGCUCCUAACCCAAUAACCAUGUCUUAAGACGUCAAUACAUCCACGUCCUUCAUUUCAACACGAUAUCAUGUCUAUGGUGCCGCUUAUCCUCCUUGUCACCCCCGUCGACAGUGGCCUUAGUGCUCACACAAUCAGUGACUUUUGUUUUUCUUUGACUUAAAGGUGGACCAUGGGCUAAUUGCUAGAAAAGGUAGGGGUUUUUUCAAAAACAUGCAAAAAAGAUUCGUUUUUAACUUAAAUGUGUAUUGUAGGUUAAUUAUGAGAAAAGGCGGGGGUUUUCUGUAAAACUACAUGACAGACGGGCUAGGGAUGGCAAUGGGUAGGGUAUGGGCGGGUACGACCCUUUUCUACCCAAACCCAUACCCAAAUCUUUUUUCUAUACCCACCCACUUCUAUAUCCAUGGGUACAAAUUGGUACCCAUGCCCAUACCCAUCGGGUAUCCUAUACCCAAUGGUUUUUUUUCGAUAAAGGGCGAUUUUAUUAUCUCAAAUGUAGCAUCAAGCGGAUACAAAACAUUAUGAGUAACACCCGGCCUCUGCAUAACUAGGAUGCACACAGCCAAACACCAAAGUCUGACACUCGAAAAAGUAAGAAAACCGACAAAACAGCAACAGUAGAGUCCUAUGGACUGACACUUUGCCUAUGUCGAACUCGGUGGUGGAUCGAUCCGGAGGUUAUGCUGCCACCCAUGUUGGGAAAAAACCUCCAUAGCCGCCUGCUCCAACCGUGUACACACCGCCUUGAACAGCGGUUGGUGCUCUGCCAGUUGUAGUGUAGACCACGUAUGAAGCGAGUGCGUACAACGGAAAAUAACCUGUAGAGGACAAGCAUUUUUGUCAUUAAAAAUCAAAUCAUUUCUACAUAGCCAAAGCGACGCUAGUAAGGCAUACGCCCCCACCCUUAUUAGCAUUUUCAAACUAUUUGAAAUUCCGUCCAACCAAUGACCAAAUAUAUUGGCAAUACUCGUUGGCGGAUACAAAUUUGACGAUAUUUGGAUGACUGACCAUGUAGAACAUGCAAACUUGCAUUGGAAAAAGAGGUGUUUGAUUGUCUCGUCAUGAGCACAAAAGCAACACUUCUUACUUCCUGGCCAGUUGCGCCGUGCAAGAUUGUCUUUGGUUAGCACAACUCCCCUACGAAGAUACCACAUAAAGAUUUUAACUUUUAGUGGAAUCUUAGACUUCCAUUUUUUUUGUUAUUAUUCACUGGCACCUCGGAAUGCAUAAGCGCACGAUACAUUGAGUCUACUGUGUAAGACCCUGAUGUUGUGAGUUUCCAGUGAAACGCAUCCCGGCCUUGUGUCAGAUUAAUCGAAUCCAGACGGGAUAAAAGAUUAUGCCAUGCCAAAAGUCGAGGGCCAAUCAAAUCCCGCCUGCACGAAAUAUUCGGCGGGGAUGAACUAAGCACUUGCGCAAUAGUAUUACUCUUAUCGCGAGCAAUGACAUAUAAGGCUGGGUAUUGCUCUCGGAAACUGGCAUUGCCUAGCCAUAUGUCUUCCCAGAAACGAACCUCUGACCCAUCCAUUAUCACGAAAGACCCAAAGCGAAAAAGAUGUUUCUUUGCCGCCAUUAGGCUAGCCCAAAAGUGUGAGUUGCCAGGUUUCCAAUAAGCCUGAGACACUGCCUUUUGGCCUAGAUACUUGUUGCGCAAAAUGGUUUGCCAAACACCAUCCUCAGUAAGAAGUUUGAACAACCAUUUACUAAGUAGGGCCUCAUUAUUGACCUGUCGGUCAUGAAUUCCAAGGCCACCUUGCUAUUUCGGCCUACAAACCACGCUCCAUUUGGCCAGCCUAUAUUUUUUCUUUUCACCGUCUCCCUGUUGGGGAACGUUGCAGAAAAUUAAAAAUUUUCCUACGGUUUCACCAAGAUCCAUCUAUGAGUUCAUCUAAGCAACGAGUCUAGGGAGAGAGUUUGCAUCUACAUACCACUUGUAGAUCGCGUGCGGAAGCUUGCAAGGUGAUGAUGUAGUCGUACUCGACGUGAUCCAAAUCACCGAUGACCUGCGCCGAACGGACGGCACCUCCGCGUUCAACACACGUACGGAACAGCCACGUCUCCUCCUUCUUGAUCCAGCAAGGAAGGGAGGAGAGGUUGAGGGAGAUGGCACCAGCAGCAGCACGACGGCGUGGUGUUGGUGGAGCUGCAGUACUCCGGCAGAGCUUCGCUAAGCACUUUGGAGGUGGAGGAGGUGUUGGGGAGGGAGAAGGAGGCAACCAAAGGCCAGGGCGUUCAGGUAUGAAGUCCCUCCUCUCCCCCCACUAUAUAUAGGGGUGCCAAGGGGGGGUGGCCGGCCCUAGGAGAUCAAAUCUCCUAGGGGGUGCGGCGGCCAAGGGGGGUUUUCCCUCCCCCCAAGGCACCUAGGAGGUGCCUUACCCUCCUAGGACUCUUGCCCCCUUGAACCCUAGGCGCAUGGGCCUAUGUGGGGCUGGUGCCCUUGGCCCAUUAGGCCAAGGCGCACCCCCUUACAGCCCAUGUGGCCCCCCGGGACAGGUGGACCCACCCGGUGGACCCCCGGGACCCUUCCGGUGGUCCCGGUACAAUACCGAUAACCCCGAAACUUGUCCCGAUGCCCGAAACAGGACUUCCCAUAUAUAAAUCUUUACCUCCGGACCAUUCCGGAACUCCUCGUGACGUCCGGGAUCUCAUCCGGGACUCCGAACAACAUUCGGGUUACUGCAUAUACAUAUCCCUAUAACCCUAGCGUAACUGAACCUUAAGUGUGUAGACCCUACGGGUUCGGGAGACAUGCAGACAUGACCGAGACUCUCUUAGUCAAUAACCAUCAGCGGGAUCUGGAUACCCAUGAUGGCUCCCACAUGCUCCUCGAUGUUGUCAUCGGAUGAACCACUAUGUCGAGGAUUCGAUCAAACCUUGUAUGCAAUUCCCUUUGUCAAUCGGUACGUUACUUGCCCGAGACUCGAUCGUCGGUAUCCCAAUACCUUGUUCAGUCUCGUUACCGGCAAGUCACUUUACUCGUACCGUAAUGCAUGAUCCCGUGUCCAACACCUUGGUCACAUUGAGCUCAAUAUGAUGAUGCAUUACCGAGUGGGCCCAGAGAUACCUCUCCGUCAUACGGAGUGACAAAUCCCAGUCUCGAUCCGUGUCAACCCAACAGCUACUUUCGGAGAUACCUGUAAUGUACCUUUAUAGUCACCCAGUUACGUUGUGACGUUUGGUACACCCAAGGCAUUCUUACGGUAUCCGGGAGUUACACGAUCUCAUGGUCGAAGGAAGAGAUACUUGACACUUGCAAAGCUCUAGCAAAACGAACUACACGAUCUUUUAUGCUAUGCUUAGGAUUGGGUCUUGUCCAUCACAUCAUUCUCCUAAUGAUGUGAUCCCGUUAUCAACUACAUCCAAUGUCCUUAGUCAGGAAACCAUGACUAUCUGUUGAUCACAACGAGCUGGUCAACUAGAGGCUUACCAGGGACAUAGUGUGGUCUAAAUAUUCACACGUGUAUUACGGUUUCCGGAUAAUACAGUUAUAGCAUGAAUACAAGACAAUUAUCAUGAACAAUGAAAUAUAAUAAUACUUUUAUUAUUGCCUCUAGGGCAUAUUUCCAACAGUCUCCCACUUGCACUAGAGUCACUAAUCUAGUUACAUUGUGAUGAAUCGAACACCCAUAGAGUUCUGGUGUUGAUCAUGUUUUGCACGCGAGAGAGGUUUAGUCAGCGGAUCUGCGACAUUCAGAUCCGUGUGCACUUUGCAAAUCUCUAUGUCUCCAUCUUGAACAUUUUCACGGAUGGAGUUGAAAAAGACGCUUGAUGUGCCUGGUCUUCUUGUGAAACCUGGGCUCCUUUGCGAGGGCAAUAGCUCCAGUGUUGUCACAGAAGAGUUUGAUCGGCCCCGACGCAUUGGGUAUGACUCCUAGGUCGGUGAUGAACUCCUUCACCCAAAUCGCUUCAUGUGCUGCCUCCGAGGCUGCCAUGUACUCCGCUUCACAUGUAGAUCCCGCCACGACGCUCUGCUUGUAGCUGCACCAGCUUACUGCUCCACCAUUCAACAUAUACACGUAUCCGGUUUGUGACUUAGAGUCAUCCAGAUCUGAGUCGAAGCUAGCGUCGACGUAACCCUUUACGACGAGCUCUUCGUCUCCUCCAUAAACGAGAAACAUGUCCUUUGUCCUUUUCAGGUACUUCAGGAUAUUCUUGACCGCUGUCCAGUGUUCCUUGCCGGGAUUACUUUGGUAUCUUGCUACCAAACUUACGGCAAGGUUUACAUCGGGUCUGGUACACAGCAUGGCAUACAUAAUAGAUCCUAUGGCUGAAGCAUAGGGGAUGACACUCAUCUCUUCUUUAUCUUUUGCCGUGGUCGGUGACUGAGCUGAGCUCAGUCUCAUACCUUGUAACAUAGGCAAGAACCCCUUCUUGGACUGAUCCAUUCUGAAUCUCUUCAAAAUCUUAUCAAGGUAUGUACUUUGUGAAAGACCUAUGAGGCGUCUCGAUCUAUCUCUAUAGAUAUGCCUAAUAUAUAAGCAGCUUCUCCAAGGUCCUUCAUUGAAAAACACUUAUUCAAGUAGGCCUUAAUGCUGUCCAGAAAUUCUAUAUUAUUUCCCAUCAGGAGUAUGUCAUCUACAUAUAAUAUGAGAAAUGCUACAGAGCUCCCACUCACUUUCUUGUAAACGCAGGCUUCUCCAUAAGUCUGCAUAAACCCAAACGCUUUGAUCAUCUCAUCAAAGCGAAUGUUCCAACUCCGAGAUGCUUGCACUAGUCCAUAAAUGGAUCGCUGGAGCUUGCAUACUUUGUUAGCGUUCUGAGGAUUGACAAAACCUUCCGGCUGCAUCAUAUACAGUUCUUCCUUAAGAUGCCCGUUAAGGAAUGCUGUUUUGACGUCCAUCUGCCAUAUCUCAUAAUCAUAGUAUGCGGCAAUUGCUAACAUGAUUCGGACGGACUUUAGCUUUGCUACGGGAGAGAAUGUCUCGUCGUAGUCAAUCCCUUGAACCUGUCGAUAACCCUUAGCGACAAGUCGAGCUUUAUAGAUGGUAACAUUACCAUCCGCGUCCGUCUUCUUCUUAAAGAUCCAUUUGUUUUCUAUCGCUCGCCGAUCAUCGGGCAAGUCUGUCAAAGUCCAUACUUUGUUUUCAUACAUGGAUUCUAUCUCGGAUUUCAUGGCUUCAAGCCAUUUGUUGGAAUCCGGGCCCGUCAUUGCUUCUUCAUAGUUCGAAGGUUCAUUGUUGUCUAACAACAUGAUUUCCAGGACAGGAUUGCCGUACCACUCUGGUGCGGAACGUGUCCUUGUGGACCUACGAAGUUCAGCAGUAACUUGAUCCGAAGUACCUUGAUCAUCAUCAUGGUUUUCCUCUUCAGUUGGUGUGGGCAUCACAGGAAUGGUUUCCUGUGCUGCGUCACUAUCCCGCUCAAGAGGUAGUACUUCAUCGAGUUCUACUUUCCUCCCACUUACUUCUUUCGAGAGAAACUCUUUCUCCAGAAAGCAUCCGUUCUUGGCAACAAAGAUCUUGCCUUCGGAUCUUAAGUAGAAGGUAUACCCUAUAGUUUCCUUAGGGUAUCCUAUGAAUACGCAUUUUUCCGACUUUGGUUCGAGCUUUUCAGGUUGAAGUUUCUUGACAUAAGCUUCGCAUCCCCAAACUUUUAGAAACGACAGCUUAGGUUUCUUUCCAAACCAUAAUUCAUACGGUGUCGUCUCAACGGAUUUAGACGGUGCCCUGUUUAAAGUGAAUGUAGCUGUCUCUAGAGCGUAUCCCCAAAAUGAUAGCGGUAAAUCGGUAAGAGACAUCAUAGACCGCACCAUAUCCAAUAGAGUGCGAUUACGACGUUCGGACACACCGUUUCGCUGAGGUGUUCCAGGCGGCGUGAGCUGUGAAACGAUUCCACAUUUCUUUAAGUGUGUACCAAAUUCGUGACUUAAGUAUUCUCCUCCACGAUCUGAUCGUAAGAAUUUUAUCUUUCGGUCACGUUGAUUCUCCACCUCAUUCUGAAAUUCCUUGAACUUUUCAAAGGUCUCAGACUUGUGUUUCAUUAAGUAGACAUACCCAUAUCUACUCAAGUCAUCUGUGAGGGUGAGAACAUAACGAUAUCCUCCGCGAGCCUCAAUGCUCAUUGGACCGCACACAUCGGUAUGUAUGAUUUCCAACAAGUUGGUUGCUCGCUCCAUUGUUCCGGAGAACGGAGUCUUGGUCAUUUUACCUAAGAGGCAUGGUUCGCACGUGUCAAACGAUUCAUAAUCAAGAGACUCUAAAAGUCCAUCGGCAUGGAGCUUCUUCAUGCGCUUGACACCAAUGUGACCAAGGCGGCAGUGCCACAAGUAUGUGGGACUAUCGUUAUCAACUUUAAAUCUUUUGGCAUCCACACUAUGAACAUGUGUAAUAUUACGCUCGAGAUUCAUUAAGAAUAAACCAUUGACCAUCGGAGCAUGACCAUAAAACAUAUCUCUCAUAUAAAUCGAACAACCAUUAUUCUCAGACUUGAAUGAGUAGCCAUCUCGUAUUAAACGAGAUCCAGAUACAAUGUUCAUGCUCAAACUUGGCACUAAAUAACAAUUAUUAAGGUUCAAAACUAAUCCCGUAGGUAAAUGUAGAGGCAGCGUGCCGACGGCGAUCACAUCGACUCUGGAACCAUUCCCGACGCGCAUCGUCACCUCGUCCUUCGCCAGUCUCCGUUUAUUCCGCAGCUCCUGCUGUGAGUUACAAAUAUGAGCAACGGCACCGGUAUCAAAUACCCAGGAGUUACUACGAUUACUGGUAAGGUACACAUCAAUCACAUGUAUAUCAAAUAUACCUUUGGUGUUGCCGGCCUUCUUAUCCGCUAAGUAUUUGGGGCAGUUCCGCUUCCAGUGACCCUUCCCCUUGCAAUAAAAGCACUCAGUCUCAGGCUUGGGUCCAUUCUUUGACUUCUUCCCGGUAACUGGCUUACCAGGCGCGGCAACAUCUUUGCCGUCCUUCUUGAAGUUCUUCUUACCCUUGCCCUUCUUGAACUUAGUGGUCUUAUUGACCAUCAACACUUGAUGUUCUUUCUUGAUUUCAGCCUCUGCUGACUUCAGCAUCGAGAACACUUCAGGAAUGGUCUUUUCCAUUCCCUGCAUGUUGUAGUUCAUCACAAAGCUCUUGUAUCUUGGUGGGAGCGACUGGAGGAUUCUGUCAAUGACCGCCUCAUCUGGGAGGUUAAUGUUUAGCUGGGUCAUACGGUUGUGCAACCCAGACAUCUUCAGGAUGUGCUCACUGACAGAACUGUUCUCCUCCAUCUUACAACUGUAGAACUUGUCGGAGACAUCAUAUCUCUCGACCCGGGCAUGAGCUUGAAAAACUAGUUUCAGCUCUUCGAACAUCUCAUAUGCUCCGUGAUGCUCAAAACGCUUUUGGAGCCCCGGUUCUAAGCUGUAAAGCAUGCCGCACUGAACGAGGGAGUAAUCAUCAGCGCGAGACUGCCAAGCAUUCAUAAUGUCUUGGUUCUCUGGGACGGGAGCGUCACCUAGCGGUCCUUCUAGGACAUAUUGUUUCCUGGCAGCUAUGAGGAUGAUCCUCAGGUUCCGGACCCAGUCCGUAUAGUUGCUGCCAUCAUCUUUCAGCUUGGUUUUCUCUAGGAACGCGUUGAAGUUCAUGUUGACAUUAGCGUUGGCCAUUGAUCUACAAGACAUAUUUGCAAAGGUUUUAGACUAAGUUCAUGAUAAUAAAGUUCUAAUCAAAUUAUGAACUCCCACUUAGAUUAGACAUCCCUUUAGUCAUCUAAGUGUUACACGACCCGAGUCGACUAGCCCGUGUCCGAUCAUCACGUGAGACGGACUAGUCAUCGUCGGUGAACAUUUUCAUGUUGAUCGUAUCUUCCAUACGACUCGUGUUCGACCUUUCGGUCUCCGUGUUCCGAGGCCAUGUCUGCACAUGCUAGGCUCGUCAAGUUAACCCUAAGUGUUUUCGCUGUGUAAAACUGUCUUACACCCGUUGUAUGUGAACGUAAGAAUCCAUCACACCCGAUCAUCACGUGGUGCUUAGAAACGACGAACUGUAGCAACGGUGCACAGUUAGGGGAGAACACUUCUUGAAAUUUUAUAAGGGAUCAUCUUAUUUACUACCAUCGUCCUAAGUAAACAAGAUGCAUAAUACAUAAUAAACAUCACAUGCAAUUAUAUAGUUGUGACAUGAUAUGGCCAAUAUCAUAUAGCUCCAUUGAUCUUCAUCUUCGGGGCUCCAUGAUCAUCUUGUCACCGGCUUGACACCAUGAUCUCCAUCAUCAUGAUCUCCAUCAUCGUGUCUUCAUGAAGUUGUCACGCCAACGACUACUUCUACUUCUAUGACUAACGUUUAGCAAUAAAGUAAAGUAGUUUACAUGACGUUAUUCAAUGACACGCAGGUCAUACAAAAAAUAAUGACAACUCCUAUGGCUCCUGCCGGUUGUCAUACUCAUCGACAUGCAAGUCGUGAAUCCUAUUACAAAGAACAUGAUCUCAUACAUCACAAUUCAUCAUUCAUCACAACUUCUGGCCAUAUCACAUCACAUGAUCAAUCGCUGCAAAAACAAGUUAGACGUCCUUUAAUUGUUGUUGCAUCUUUUACGUGGCUGCAAUUGGGUUCUAGCAAGAACGUUUUCUUACCUACGAAUCACCACAACGUGAUUUUGUCAACUUCUAUUUACCCUUCAUAAGGGCCCUGUUCAUCGAUUCCGCUCCAACUAAGGUGGGAGAGACAGACACCCGCCAGCCACUUUAUGCAACUUGUGCAUGUCAGUCGGUGGAACCGGUCUCACGUAAGUGUACGCGUAAGGUUGGUCCGGGCCGCUUCAUCCCACAAUACCGUUGAGCAAGAAAAGACUAGUAGAGGCAAGUAAGAUGACAAAAUCCACGCCCACAACAAAGUUGUGUUCUACUCGUGCAAAGAGAACUACGCAUAGACCUAGCUCAUGAUGCCACUGUUGGGGAACGUUGCAGAAAAUUAAAAUUUUUCCUACGGUUUCACCAAGAUCCAUCUAUGAGUUCAUCUAAGCAACGAGUCUAGGGAGAGAGUUUGCAUCUACAUACCACUUGUAGAUCGCGUGCGGAAGCUUGCAAGGUGAUGAUGUAGUCGUACUCGACGUGAUCCAAAUCACCGAUGACCUGCGCCGAACGGACGGCACCUCCGCGUUCAACACACGUACGGAACAGCCACGUCUCCUCCUUCUUGAUCCAGCAAGGAAGGGAGGAGAGGUUGAGGGAGAUGGCACCAGCAGCAGCACGACGGCAUGGUGUUGGUGGAGCUGCAGUACUCCGGCAGAGCUUCGCUAAGCACUUUGGAGGUGGAGGAGGUGUUGGGGAGGGAGAAGGAGGCAACCAAAGGCCAGGGCGUUCAGGUAUGAAGUCCCUCCUCUCCCCCCACUAUAUAUAGGGGUGCCAAGGGGGGGUGGCCGGCCCUAGGAGAUCAAAUCUCCUAGGGGGUGCGGCGGCCAAGGGGGGUUUUCCCUCCCCCAAGGCACCUAGGAGGUGCCUUACCCUCCUAGGACUCUUGCCCCCUUGAACCCUAGGCGCAUGGGCCUAUGUGGGGCUGGUGCCCUUGGCCCAUUAGGCCAAGGCGCACCCCCUUACAGCCCAUGUGGCCCCCCGGGACAGGUGGACCCACCCGGUGGACCCCCGGGACCCUUCCGGUGGUCCCGGUACAAUACCGAUAACCCCGAAACUUGUCCCGAUGCCCGAAACAGGACUUCCCAUAUAUAAAUCUUUACCUCCGGACCAUUCCGGAACUCCUCGUGACGUCCGGGAUCUCAUCCGGGACUCCGAACAACAUUCGGGUUACUGCAUAUACAUAUCCCUAUAACCCUAGCGUAACUGAACCUUAAGUGUGUAGACCCUACGGGUUCGGGAGACAUGCAGACAUGACCGAGACUCUCUUAGUCAAUAACCAUCAGCGGGAUAUGGAUACCCAUGAUGGCUCCCACAUGCUCCUCGAUGUUGUCAUCGGAUGAACCACUAUGUCGAGGAUUCGAUCAAACCCUGUAUGCAAUUCCCUUUGUCAAUCGGUACGUUACUUGCCCGAGACUCGAUCGUCGGUAUCCCAAUACCUUGUUCAGUCUCGUUACCGGCAAGUCACUUUACUCGUACCGUAAUGCAUGAUCCCGUGUCCAACACCUUGGUCACAUUGAGCUCAAUAUGAUGAUGCAUUACCGAGUGGGCCCAGAGAUACCUCUCCGUCAUACGGAGUGACAAAUCCCAGUCUCGAUCCGUGUCAACCCAACAGCUACUUUCAGAGAUACCUGUAAUGUACCUUUAUAGUCACCCAGUUACGUUGUGACGUUUGGUACACCCAAGGCAUUCUUACGGUAUCCGGGAGUUACACGAUCUCAUGGUCGAAGGAAGAGAUACUUGACACUUGCAAAGCUCUAGCAAAACGAACUACACGAUCUUUUAUGCUAUGCUUAGGAUUGGGUCUUGUCCAUCACAUCAUUCUCCUAAUGAUGUGAUCCCGUUAUCAACUACAUCCAAUGUCCAUAGUCAGGAAACCAUGACUAUCUGUUGAUCACAACGAGCUGGUCAACUAGAGGCUUACCAGGGACAUAGUGUGGUCUAAAUAUUCACACGUGUAUUACGAUUUCCGGAUAAUACAGUUAUAGCAUGAAUACAAGAUAAUUAUCAUGAACAAUGAAAUAUAAUAAUACUUUUAUUAUUGCCUCUAGGGCAUAUUUCCAACACUCCCUGCCAAAAGAAUCUGGAUCUAAAAUAGUCCAGUCUUUGGAGGACCCCUUUUGGGAGUUGGAAGAAAGAAAACAUAUAGAGAACUAUAUUUGUGAGGACAGAGUUAAUUAAAACCAACCGUCCUCCAACUGAGAGCAACUUGCCUUUCCAACUGCUCAGUCGUUUCUCUAGAUGCUCCUCAACAUGCUUCCACUCCACAAUGGUGAGACGCCGAUAGUCAAUUGGUAUUCCCAGAUAUUUAAUUGGGAAUUGACCAUGUGCACAACCAAACAUGUCAGCGUAAUCUGCAGCCGCCUCAACGGCUUCUCCAAAGCAGAAAAGUUCACUUUUAUGGAAGUUAAUUUUGAGCCCCGACAUUUUCUCAAAUGCUGAAAGCAAGAGUUUCAGGUUUCGAGCCUUGUCUAGGUCAUGUUCCAUAAAAAGAAUUGUGUCAUCGGCAUAUUGCAGAAUAGAGAGACCACCAUCCACAAGAUGUGGCACUACUCCUGCAAUCUGGCCGUCCUGCUUGGCGUGCUCAAUCAGAAUAGCCAACAUGUCAACAACAAUGUUAAAUAACAUUGGGGACAUGGGGUCACCCUGCCGUAGUCCUUUUUUUUGUCUGGAAGUAAUGGCCUAAAUCAUCAUUGACUUUGAUGGCCACACUACCUCCAGUUACAAAAUUUUGGUCCAUUGGCGCCAUUUACCAAAGAAACCUUUCAUUCUUAGGGCCUGUUGGAGGAAAGACCAUUUGACCUUGUCAUAGGCCUUCUCAAAGUCGAUUUUAAAUACUACUCCACUCAUGUUUUUCCAGUGCAUCUCAUGAACGGUCUCAUGCAAAAUUACUAUUACAUCUAGUAUAUUCCUUCCUUGCAUGAACGUUGUUUGAGAUGGCCGAACAACAUGGUCAACUACCAAGUUUAACCUAUUCGUAGCCACUUUGGUAAAGAUCUUGAAGCUAACAUUAAGGAGGCAUAUGGGUCUGAACUGCUGGAUCUGUUCGGCCUUCUUAAUCUUUGGCAACAAGACAAUCUCGCCAAAGUUAAGUAUGAAUAGAUCUAGUCGGUCGGCAUGAAGACAAUUAAACAACUCCAAAAGGUCAGUCUUGAUGAUAUCCCAGAAAUUCUGAUAGAAUUCUGCGGGGAAACCAUCUGGGCCUGGAGCUUUGUUAUGUUCCAUUUGGAACACCGCCGCUCUCACCUCCUCUUCUGAGAAUGGUGCCGCAAGGAUAUCAUUUUCUUCUGCCGUGACUUGUGGAAUAUCAUCCGUUCGAGUCUCGUCAAGGGUGAAGUUCCCCUCAGUCGGCGCGCCGAACAACGAUUUAUAGUAUUUGGUGAUAUACUUUUUGAGCUCCUCCUGACCUUCGAUCAUCCCCUCAUCUUGUUGGAGACUGUAAAUACAUUUCUUCCUAUGUCACCCAUUGGCGAUCAAUUGGAAGUAUCUUGUAUUACUAUCACCCAUCAAUAUGAGAUCAGCUUUAGAUCUCUGGUAGUAUUUGAUCUCCUCUUCUCGCAAAAGACGGGCGACCUUCUCAUUAGAUUGAUUUUUUAAUUCAAUCUCUUGUUGAGAUAAGGUGCGUGUCUCUGCAAUCUUGUCGAGGUCGUCAAUAAUGGUAGAGAGCCGUUGUUUUUCUUUUUUAUAUAUCCCGUUGGUGUGUUUUGCCUAUCCAGGGAGGUGUUGCCUCAUGGCCCUUAUUUUAAAGUUCCAUCUCUGAAUAGGUGUGCGACCAACGGCGGGCUUCUCCCAAACAUUCUUGAUUAUGUCUACAAAUCCAUCCCGAUGCGGCCAUCCCAAUUCAAAUUUGAAAGGGCGACGGGCUGCUGGGUUCAUGGAGUUAGAAUCCAGAAUGAUGGGUGCAUGAUCUGAUAAUGCCUCGAUACGCUCUAGGGCUCGCACGGUUACCAUAGGAAAUUUUAGUUCCCAUUCGGUGUCCAUGAGUACCCUAUCGAGCUUCUCAUAUGUCGGCACAGAUCGGUUAUUAGCCCAGGUGAACUGCCGCCCCGACAUACGGACCUCCCGAAGAUCCAAACUGUCUAUCACAACAUUGAAUAGGAAGGGCCAAUGAGUGUUGAAGCGGUCAUUAUUUUUCCCUUGUUGGUACCUAAGGAUAUUAAAGUCCCCUCCAAUAAUAUUUGGAUACGGGUUAUCCUUAGCCAGGUUCACCAAUUCACGAAGGAAAGCCGAUUUGUAUUCAUCUUGGGCAGCCCCAUAGACCGCGACCAGGCUCCAAGUAAGAUUAUCAGCUCUGUUUCGUAAGUAAAAUUUGAUAUGAAAUUCACCUGUCGAAAAAGCCAUAAGUCCAUGGUCGUGGUCUGUAUCCCAAGAAGGAUUCCUCCAGACCUUCCACGAGCUGGUAGACUAUGCCAUGUGUAGUCGAAACCACUUGAUAGGUGCUCGAGGACAUUUGGCCGGAAGUCACAUUUACCAGCCUCGGAAAUUGCCACAAAGUCCAACCCAUGUUCACGUACACAAUCACUGACGUGUUUAUGUUUAGCCAAGUCUGAGAGACCUCUGCUAUUCCAAAACAUGCCUCUCAUGUGGAAACUCGGGUCUGAAGGAAAUAUGCCCUAGAAGCAAUAAUAAAGUUAUUAUUUAUUUCCUCAUAUCAUGAUAAAUGUUUAUUAUUCAUGCUAGAAUUGUAUUAACCGGAAACAUGAUACAUGUGUGAAUACAUAGACAAACAUAUAGUCACUAGUAUGCCUCUACUUGACUAGCUCGUUAACCAAAGAUGGUUAUGUUUCCUAACCAUAGACAUGUGUUGUCAUUUGAUUAAUGGGAUCACAUCAUUAGGAGAAUGAUGUGAUUGACAUGACCCGUUCUGUUAGCCUAGCACUUGAUCGUUUAGUAUAUUGCUAUUGCUUUCUUCAUGACUUAUACAUGUUCCUGUAACUAUGAGAAUUAUGCAACUCCCGUUUACCGGAGGAACACUUUGGGUACUACCUAGGGGUGGACUAACGAGAAACUCGGCUCGUUAAGCUCGUACUCGUUAAGCUCGUGCUCGUUAAGGCUCGGCUCGUUAAGCUCGUUAAGAUUAACGAGCAGAAAACCCUGCUCGGCUCGGCUCAUUUGAAGCUCGUUAAGCUCAUGAGCGCUCGCGAGCGCUCGUUAACAGAUUAUAAUGUGUUACGAUAUACAUGAUGAAUGUGUAGGUGUGGUUUCCAAGACAAAAUAUGGUGACUAUAAAAAGAAAUGCAGUAGUUUGUUGCCUCAUAUGUCGAUUAGAUUGAAUAUAUGGGCUGAGGUGCUACAAAAGUUUGUCACGUAAGAUGAAAAUAUGUGUUGUGUUGUUACUAACGAGCUUAACGAGCUACUCGUGAGACUCGUUAGCUCGCUCGUUAAGCUCGUUAAGCUUAACAAGCUGAAAUCAAUGAUUGGCUCUGUUCAUUAAGAAGCGAGCUACGUGCUUAACGAGCCGAACUAUCGAGCGCUCAUUAAGCUCGCGAGUUACGAGCUUUUGGUCCAGCCCUAGUACUACCAAACGUCACAACGUAACUGGGUGAUUAUAAAGGAGUACUACAGGUGUCUCCGAAGGUACAUGUUGAGUUGGCGUAUUUCGAGAUUAGGUUUUGUCACUCCGAUUGUCGGAGAGGUAUCUCUGGGCCCUCUCGGUAAUGCACAUCAUUAUAAGCCUUGCAAGCAAUGUGACCAAAUGAGUUGGUUAUGGGAUGAUGCAUUACGGAACGAGUAAAGAGACUUGCCGAUAACGAGAUUGAACUAGGUAUUGGAUACCGACGAUCAAAUCUCGGGCAAGUAACAUACCGAUGACAAAGGGAACAACGUAUGUUGUUAUGCGGUUUGACCGAUAAAGAUCUUCGUAGAAUAUGUAGGAACCAAUAUGGGCAUCCAGGUUCCGCUAUUGGUUAUUGACCGAGAAUAGUUCUAGGUCAUGUCUACAUAGUUCUCGAACCCGUAGGGUCCGCACGCUUAAAUUUACGAUGACAGUAUUGUUAUGAGUUUAUAAGUUUUGAUGUACCGAAGUUUGUUCGGAGUCCCGGAUGUAAUCACGGACAUGACGAGGAGUCUCGAAAUGGUCGAGACAUAAAGAUUGAUAUAUUGGAAGCAUAUGUUUGGACAUCAGAAAGGUUCCGGGUGAAAUCAGGAUUUUACCGGAACACCGGGGGGUUACCGGAACCCUCCCGGGGGUUAAUGGGCCUUAGUCGGCCAUGAGGGAAAAGAGGAGGGCCGGCCAGGGCAGGCCGCGCGCCCCCUCCCCCCUAGUCCGAAUAGGACAAGGAAGGGGGGGCGGCGCCCCCCUUUCCUCUUUCCCCUCCCCCCUUUCCUUCUCCACCAAGGCAAGAGGGGGGAGUCCUACUCCCGGUGGGAGUAGGACUCCUCCAGGCGCACCCCAAGGGGGCCGGCCGCACCUCCCCCUCCCUCCUUUAUAUAAAGCCGGCAGGGGGCACCCCAUAACACACAAGUUGAUCUACGGAUCGUUCCUUAGCCGUGUGCGGUGCCCCCCUCCACCAUAUUCCACCUCGGUCAUAUCGUCGCGGAGUUUAGGCAAAGCCCUGCGCCGGUAGUACAUCAUCAUUGUCACCAUGCCGUCGUGCUGACGGAACUCAUCCCCGAAGCUUUGCUGGAUCGGAGCCCGGGGAUCAUCAUCGAGCUGAACGUGUGUUGAACUCGGAGGUGCCGUACGUUCGGUGCUUGGAUCGGUCGGAUCGUGAAGACGUACGACUACAUCAACCGCGUUGUGCUAACGCUUCCGCUUACGGUCUACGAGGGUACAUGGACAACACUCUCCCCUCUCGUUGCUAUGCCAUCACCAUGAUCUUGCGUGUGCGUAGGAAUUUUUUUGAAAUUACUACGUUCCCCAACAGUGGUAUCAGAGCCUAGGUUUUAUGCGUUGAUGUUAUAUGCACGAGUAGAACACAAGUGAGUUGUGGGCGAUACAAGUCAUACUGCUUACCAGCAUGUCAUACUUUGGUUCGGCGGUAUUGUGAGAUGAAGCGGCCCGGACCGACAUUACACGUACGCUUAUGCGAGACUGGUUUCACCGUUGCGAGCACUCGUGCUUAAAGGUGACCGGCGGGUGUCUGUCUCUCUCACUUUAGCUGAAUCGAGUGUGGCUACGCCCGGUCCUUGCGAAGGUUAAAACAGCACCAACUUGACGAACUAUCAUUGUGGUUUUUAUGCGUAGGUAAGAACGGUUCUUGCUAAAGCCCGUAGCAGCCACGUAAAAUUUGCAACAACAAAGUAGAGGACGUCUAACUUGUUUUUACAGGGCAUGUUGUGAUGUGAUAUGGUCAAGACGUGAUGCUAUAUUAUAUUGUAUGAGAUGAUCAUGUUUUGUAACCGAAGUUAUCGGCAACUGGCAGGAGCCAUAUGGUUGUCGCUUUAUUGUAUGAAAUGCAAACGCCCUGUAAUUGCUUUACUUUAUCUCUAAGUGGUAGUGAUAGUCGUAGAAGCAAUAGAUGGCGUAACGACAAUGAUGCUACGAUGGAGAUCAAGGUGUCGCACCGGUGACGAUGGUGAUGAUGACGGUGCUUCGAAGAUGGAGAUCACAAGCACAAGAUGAUGAUGGCCAUAUCAUAUCACUUAUAUUGAUUGCAUGUGAUGUUUAUCCUUUAUCCAUCUUAUCUUGCUUUGAUUGACGGUAGCAUUUUAAGAUGAUCUCUCACUAAUAAUCAAGAAGUGUUCUCCCUGAGUAUGCACCGUUGCGAAAGUUCUUCGUGCUGAGACACCACGUGAUGAUCGGGUGUGAUAGGCUCUACGUUCAAAUACAACUGGUGCAAAACAGUUGCACAUGCGGAAUACUCAGGUCAUACUUGACGAGCCUAGCAUAUACAGAUAUGGCCUCGGAACAUGGAGACCGAAAGGUCGAGCGUGAAUCAUAUAGUAGAUAUGAUCAACAUAGUGAUGUUCACCAUUGAAACUACUCCAUCUCACGUGAUGAUCGGACAUGGUUUAGUUGAUUUGGAUCAUGUGAUCACUUAGAUGACUAGAGAGAUGUCUAUCUAAGUGGGAGUUCUUAAGUAAUAUGAUUAAUUGAACUUAAAUUUAUCAUGAAACUUAGUACCUGAUAGUAUUUUGCUUGUCUAUGUUUGUUUGUAGAUAGAUGGCUCGUGUUGUUGUUCCGUUGAAUUUUAAUGCGUUCCUUGAGAAAGCAAAGUUGAAAGAUGAUGGUAGCAAUUACACGGACUGGGUCCAUAACCCGAGGAUUAUCCUCAUUGCUGCACAGAAAAAUUACGUCCUGGAAGCACCGUUGGGUGUCAGGCCUGCUACUGAUGCAACUGACGACGUUAAGAAUGUCUGGCAGAGCAAAGCUGAUGACUGCUCGAUAGUUCAGUGUGCCAUGCUUUACGUCUUAGAACCGGGUCUUCAACAAUGUUUUGAACGUCAUGGGGCAUAUGAGAUGUUCCAGGAGUUGAAGUUAAUAUUUCAAGCAAAUGCCCGGAUUGAGAGAUAUGAAGUCCCCAAUAAGUUCUACAGCUGCAAGAUGGAGGAGAAUAGUUCUGUCAGUGAACACAUACUCAAAAUGUCUGGGUAUAAUAAUCACUUGAUUCAACUGGGAGUUAAUCUUCCUAAUGAUAGUGUCAUUGACAGAAUUCUUCAAUCACUGCCACCAAGCUACAAGAGCUUCGUGAUGAACUAUAAUAUGCAAGGGAUGAACAAGACUAUUCCCGAGCUCUUCGUGAUGCUAAAAGCCGCGGAGGUAGAAAUCAAGAAGGAGCAUCAAGUGUUGAUGGUUAACAAGACCACCAGUUUCAAGAAAAAGGGCAAAGGGAAGAAGAAGGGGAACUUCAAAAAGAACAGCAAGCAAGUUGCUGCUCAAGAGAAGAAACCCAAGUCUGGACCUAAGCCUGAAACUGAGUGCUUCUACUGCAAGCAGACUGGACACUGGAAGCGGAACUGCCCCAAGUAUUUGGCGGAUAAGAAGGAUGGCAAAGUGAACAAAGGUAUAUGUGAUUGAUGUGUACCUUACUAAUGCUCGCAGUAGCACCUGGGUAUUUGAUACUGGUUCUGUUGCUAAUAUUUGCAACUCGAAACAGGGACUAUGGAUUAAGCGAAGAUUGGCUAAGGACGAGGUGACGAUGCGCGUGGGAAAUGGUUCCAAAGUCGAUGUGAUCGCGGUCGGCACGCUACCUCUACAUCUACCAUCGGGAUUAGUUUUAGACCUAAAUAAUUGUUAUUUGGUGCCAGCGUUAAGCAUGAACAUUAUAUCUGGAUCUUGUUUGAUGCGAGACGGUUAUUCAUUUAAAUCAGAGAAUAAUGGUUGUUCUAUUUAUAUGAGUAAUAUCUUUUAUGGUCAUGCACCCUUGAAGAAUGGUCUAUUUUUAUUAAAUCUCAAUAGUAGUGAUACACAUAUUCAUAGUGUUGAAACCAAAAGAUGCAGAGUUAAUAAUGAUAGUGCAACUUAUUUGUGGCACUGCCGUUUAGGUCAUAUCGGUGUAAAGCGCAUGAAGAAACUCCAUACUGAUGGGAUUUUGGAAUCACUUGAUUAUGAAUCACUUGGUACUUGUGAACCGUGCCUCAUGGGCAAGAUGACUAAAGCGCCGUUCUCCGGAACUAUGGAGCGAGCAACUGAUUUGUUGGAAAUCAUACAUACUGAUGUUUGUGGUCCAAUGAAUGUUGAGGCUCGCGGCGGAUAUCGUUAUUUUCUCACCUUCACAGAUGAUUUGAGCAGAUAUGGGUAUAUCUACUUGAUGAAACACAAGUCUGAAACAUUUGAAAAGUUCAAAGAAUUUUAGAGUGAAGUAGAAAAUCAUCGUAACAGGAAAAUAAAAUUUCUACAAUCUGAUCGUGGAGGAGAAUAUUUGAGUUACGAGUUUGGUCCACGAGAAACACCACAACGAAAUGGUGUGUCCGAACGUCGUAAUCGUACUUUACUAGAUAUGGUGCGAUCUAUGAUGUCUCUUACUGAUUUACCACUAUCGUUUUGGGGUUAUGCUUUAGAGACGGCCGCAUUCACGUUAAAUAGGGCACCAUCAAAAUCCGUUAAGACAACGCCUUAUGAACUGUGGUUUGGCAAGAAACCAAAGUUGUCGUUUCUUAAAGUUUGGGGCUGCGAUGCUUAUGUGAAGAAAUUUUAACCAGAUAAGCUCGAACCCAAAUCGGAGAAAUGUGUCUUCAUAGGAUACCCAAAAGAGACUAUUGGGUACACCUUCUAUCAUAGAUCUGAGGGCAAAAUUUUCGUUGCUAAAAUCGGAUCCUUUCUAGAGAAAGAGUUUCUCUCGAAAGAAGUGAGUGGGAGGAAAGUAGAACUUGAUGAGAUAACUGUAUCUACUCCCUUAUUGGAAAGUAGUUCAUCACAAGAAACGGUUCCUGUGACAACUACACCAACUAGUGAGGAAGCUAAUGAUAUUGAUCAUGAAACUUCAGAUCAAGUUUCUACUGAAGCUCGUAGGUCUACCAGAUUAAGAUCCGCACCAGAGUGGUACGGUAAUCCAAUUCUGGAAGUCAUGUUGCUUGACCAUGAUGAACCUACGAACUAUGAGGAAGCGAUGAUGAGCCCAGAUUCCGCAAAAUGGCUAGAGGCCAUGAAAUCUGAGAUGGGAUCCAUGUAUGAAAACAAAGUAUGGACUUUGGUUGACUUGCCCGAUGAUCGGCAAGCCAUUGAGAAUAAAUGGAUUUUUAAGAAGAAGACUGGCGCUGAUGGUAAUAUAACUGUCUAUAAAGCUUGACUUGUUGCAAAAGGUUUUCGACAAGUUCAAGGGGUUGACUACGAUGAGACUUUCUCACCCGUAGCGAUGCUUAAGUCUGUCCGAAUCAUGUUAGCUAUUGCUGCAUUUCAUAAUUAUGAAAUUUGGCAAAUGGAUGUCAAAACUGCAUUCUUGAAUGGAUUUCUGGAAGAAGAGUUGUAUAUGAUGCAGCCAGAAGGUUUUGUAGAUCCAAAAGGUGCUAACAAAGUGUGCAAGCUCCAGCGUUCCAUUUAUGGACUGGUGCAAGCAUCUCGGAGUUGGAAUAAACGCUUUGAUAGUGUGAUCAAAGCAUAUGGUUUUAUACAGACUUUUGGAGAAGCCUGUAUUUACAAGAAAGUGAGUGGGAGCUCUGUAGCAUUUCUGAUAUUAUAUGUAGAUGACAUAUUAUUAAUUGGAAAUGAUAUAGAAUUUCUGGAUAGCAUAAAGGAAUACUUGAAUAAAAGUUUUUCAAUGAAAGACCUCGGUGAAGCUGUUUACAUAUUGGGCAUCAAGAUCUAUAGAGAUAGAUCAAGACACUUAAUAGGACUUUCACAAAGCACAUACCUUGAUAAAAUUUUGAAAAAGUUCAAAAUGGAUCAGGCAAAGAAAGGGUUCUUGCCCGUACUACAAGGUGUGAAGUUGAGUCAAACUCAAUGCCCGACCACAGCAGAAGAUAGAGAGAAAAUGAAAGAUGUUCCCUAUGCUUCAGCCAUAGGCUCUAUCAUGUAUGCAAUGCUAUGUACCAGACCUGACGUAUGCUUAGGAAUAAGCUUGGCAGGAAGGUACCAAAGUAAUCCAGGAGUGGAUCACUGGACAGCGGUCAAGAACAUCCUGAAAUACCUGAAAAGGACUAAGGAUAUGUUUCUCGUAUAUGGAGGUGACAAAGAGCUAGUCAUAAAUGGUUACGUCGAUGCAAGCUUUGACACUGAUCCGGACGAUUCUAAAUCGCAAACCGGAUACGUGUUUUUAUUAAACGGUGGAGCUGUAAGUUGGUGCGGUUCUAAACAAAGCGUCGUGGCGGGAUCUACAUGUGAAGCGGAGUACAUAGCUGCUUCGGAAGCAGCAAAUGAAGGAGUCUGGAUGAAGGAGUUCAUUUCCGAUCUAGGUGUCAUACCUAGUGCAUCGAGACCAAUGAAAAUCUUCUGUGACAAUACUGGUGCAAUUGCCUUGGCAAAGGAAUCCAGAUUUCACAAGAGGACCAAGCACAUCAAGAGACGCUUCAAUUCCAUUCGGGACCAAGUCCAAGUGGGAGACAUAGAGAUUUGCAAGAUACAUACGGAUCUGAAUGUUGCAGACCCGUUGACUAAGCCACUCUCACGAGCAAAACAUGAUCAGCACCAAGACUCCAUGGGUGUUAGAAUCAUUACUAUGUAAUCUAGAUUAUUGACUCUAGUGCAAGUGGGAGACUGAAGGAAAUAUUCCCUAGAAGCAAUAAUAAAGUUAUUAUUUAUUUCCUCAUAUCAUGAUAAAUGUUUAUUAUUCAUGCUAGAAUUGUAUUAACCAGAAACUCCCGUCUCUUUCUCUCUAGCAGUGCUGGUGGCGUCGUCUGAAGGAAAUAUGCCCUAGAGGCAAUAAUACAGUUAUUAUUUUAUUUUCUUAUAUCAUGAUAAAUGUUUAUUAUUCAUUCUAAAAUUGAUUAACCGGAAACUUAGUACAUGUGUGAAUACAUAGACAAACAUAUAGUCACUAGUAUGCCUCUACUUGACUAGCUCGUUAAUCAAAGAUGGUUAUGUUUCCUAACCAUAGACAUGUGUUGUCAUUUGAUUAAUGGGAUCACAUCAUUAGGAGAAUGAUGUGAUUGACAUGACCCGUUCCGUUAGCCUAGCACUUGAUCGUUUAGUAUAUUGCUAUUGCUUUCUUCAUGACAUAUACAUGUUCCUGUAACUAUGAGAAUUAUGCAACUCCCGUUUACCGGAGGAACACUUUGGGUACUACCAAACGUCACAACGUAACUGGGUGAUUAUAAAGGAGUACUACAGGUGUCUCCGAAGGUACAUGUUGAGUUGGCGUAUUUCGAGAUUAGGUUUUGUCACUCCGAUUGUCGGAGAGGUAUCUCUGGGCCCUCUCGGUAAUGCACAUCAUUAUAAGCCUUGCAAGCAAUGUGACCAAAUGAGUUGGUUACGGGAUGAUGCAUUACGGAACGAGUAAAGAGACUUGCCGAUAACGAGAUUGAACUAGGUAUUGGAUACCGAUGAUCAAAUCUCGGGCAAGUAACAUACCGAUGACAAAGGGAACAACGUAUGUUGUUAUGCGGUUUGACCAAUAAAGAUCUCCGUAGAAUAUGUAGGAACCAAUAUGGGCAUCCAGGUUCCGCUAUUGGUUAUUGACCAAGAAUAGUUCUAGGUCAUGUCUACAUAGUUCUCGAACCCGUAGGGUCCGCACGCUUAAAGUUACGAUGAUAGUAUUGUUAUGAGUUUAUAAGUUUUGAUGUACCGAAGUUUGUUCGGAGUCCCGCAUGUAAUCACGGACAUGACGAGGAGUCUCAAAAUGGUCGAGACAUAAAGAUUGAUAUAUUGGAAGCAUAUGUUUGGACAUCGGAAAGGUUCCGGGUGAAAUCGGGAUUUUACCGGAACACCGGGGGGUUACCGGAACCCUCCCGGGGGUUAAUGGGCCUUAGUGGGCCAUGAGGGAGAAGAGGAGGGCCGGCCAGGGCAGGCCGCGCGCCCCCUCCCCCCUAGUCCGAAUAGGACAAGGAAGGGGGGGCGGCGCCCCCCUUUCCUCUUUCCCCUCCCCCCUUUCCUUCUCCACGAAGGCAAGAGGGGGGAGUCCUACUCCCGGUGGGAGUAGGACUCCUCCAGGCGCACCCCAAGGGGGCCGGCCGCACCUCCCCCUCCCUCCUUUAUAUACGGGGGCAGGGGGGCACCCCAUAACACACAAGUUGAUCUACAGAUCGUUCCUUAGCCGUUUGCGGUGCCCCCCUCCACCAUAUUCCACCUCGGUCAUAUCGUCGUGGAGUUUAGGCAAAGCCCUGCGCCGGUAGUACAUCAUCAUCGUCACCACGCCGUCGUGCUGAUGGAACUCAUCCUCGAAGCUUUGCUGGAUCGGAGCCCGGGGAUCGUCAUCGAGCUGAACGUGUGCUGAACUCGGAGGUGCCGUACGUUCGGUGCUUGGAUCGGUCGGAUCGUGAAGACGUACGACUACAUCAACCGCGUUGUGCUAACGCUUCCGCUUACGGUCUACGAGGGUACGUGGACAACACUCUCCCCUCUCGUUGCUAUGCCAUCACCAUGAUCUUGCAUGUGCGUAGGAAUGUUUUUGAAAUUACUACGUUCCCCAACAGGGUCGAUGUGGAACAUUUCGCCUUCUUGGGCGGUUUUUGUUUCUUUUUUGAGGAAUGCAAUUUAGAUUUACGCGAAGACGCCGUGAAGUCACAAAACAUGGACCCAGGUCUUGCUUCAUCUAAACCAACCUCGGUAACCUCACCAACCAAGUGGGAGAUAAGCGGACCAUCAUAUUUGGCAUCCGUUUCAUCUUCAUCCUCGGUCUCAGGGUUAGGUGGGGUGCUAUUACACUUUGGAGAAACCUUUAAACGGUCAAUCUCCAUAUUUUUAAGUGCCCCAACCGACAUAUUAAUUUCAUUAUCAUUUCUUCCCAUAGAUAUACCAACAUUCUUUAAGCUAGAGGAAAUGUGGGUAUUCGAAAAUGAAAGAAAAGAUUGAGGAGACGAGGUACCUGGUGUGGGGUCCAAAUUCCUCGAGGCCUGUCGAUGCAUUGCCUUUACUAGUGAAUGUUCAUCGGUCGGAGAGGAACCAUCCGCGGAGACGGCGUGACGGUUACUACGUCGAAGGGGCGAAGCCUGCCCUCCAGACAUAGUACACAUCAAUGUCUUAUGUUGAGAUGUUGGUGUUGAUUGCUGUGAGCUCGGCGGCGUCUGAACUGUCCCAAAGGUCGGUGAAGAGGGAUGCCCUCCAGACAUAGUACACCGGAUACCCAAUGGGUAUCCGGUGGGUACACUAUAUAGCAUUGACAUGACAAAAGUAAGAUGAGAAAAGGGUCUUAAUUUAGGUACCCAUCCAUAACAAUCAGGUUUGCACUUACAUCAAAAAUUCACAAUGACAACUGACACACAAUUAAAGGUCUUAAUCGGUGGUCCAUGAGCUAGUUAAGAACUUAAGAUAAUUAUUUAUCUGCAUAUUAUAGGGUUUUAUUUAUUUAUUUAUUUAUUGGGUAUCCAUUGGGUUACCCAUGGGUAUAAUUUCAUACCCAUACCCUACCCAUGCAUUUUGUGGGUAUGGAUACCCAUACCCAUGGGUAUGAAGUGGUAGAAAGUCUCACCCAUACCCACUAUUUUCGGGUAGGGUACCCGCGGGUACCCAUACCCAUGGGCAAAACUACCAUCCCUAGGACGGGCAGAAGCACUAAUUCCUUUAUUAGUACGUAUAGAUUUGAACAACUAAGUCACUCGAUAAACCUACAUCUACGUAACUUUAUGAAAUGUUUUGCAUAAACUUCCUAAAAACACUCUCCUCCCUAAAUUUUAGAUGGGUGGGGCCCUUCCUCACCCUUCUCCAAUCAUGAUUAUCCACCCUUCUCCAAUCAUGAUUAUCCAUGUUGCAGCCUGUCAUGGUUCUAAGUCUGACAGUAGUGUAGGGGGUACUAAAGGAGAGGCAAGAUCCUAACUAUAGAGUAGUUGUUCACGCAAGUGUUUUACGAGUUCCGGCCCUUCUCAGAGGAAGUAACAGCCCUACGUCUUGGUGCCCGGAGGCGGUCGACUAGAUUAUAUGCGUGAGAGUUACAGGGGUGCGAACCCUUCUGCCUAUGGAGGGGGGUGGCUUAUAUAGAGUACGCCAGGACCCCAGCCAGCCCACGUAGCAGAGAGUUCAAUCUACAUAAAGGCCAGACGUUACUGAUAACGCCUUACAUAAAGUGAUAUCAUGGCCAUAAAGACUACUUAAUAACAGACCGUUUGGCUGUAGAGUGACCAUAGAACUUCUGGUGGUCGAGUGAGUCUUCAUGGUCGACUGUCUUAGAGUCCGUCGAGUGGAAUCCUUCCAGGUCGACUGAAAGGUAGUUUCUUCUAGAGAUGUCCUUGGGUAGGGUACUUUGGACAGGUUCGUGACCCUACCCUAGGUACAUGGCUUCGUCAUUAGCCCCCGAAUGGAUCGAGGUUUGAGUGAGGAAGGAGUUGAGAAUUCUUCCGACCCCUCUUUUUGCGGUAUGAGUAUGUCUUGUUCUGGAUCAGUGACCUUAGGCGACGACACCAACUUCUUUUUCAGUCGCCUUGAUCCAUUCUUUAUAUUAGUCGAGUGACUUUUUUUAUACUUGGAGAUCUCUGAGCGACGGAUCAGAGGAAAUCUUCAGUCUGACAAGUUGCUCUGCUGUUCGCGGAUUUAGCGGGAUCUGAAUUUCGGGAAGCGCGCGGGGCAGAGGAAGCCGCAGUACUCGGAGGGAUAAGGCAGGGACGCCUCGAUUUCCACGCCAACUUUUUCGCCGCGUAUCGCGCGCGCGACUGUUGCGGGAUUUGACAGGAUCGCCCGGGCGUACUAGUCAGCCACUCGGAAGAGUCUUCAUAUAAGGCGCCAGACGGGGUUUUUUCAAAUAGUGUGCCCUCAAUCCCCUCUCCCUCUUCCUCGAACUCGUCCGCUGCGCUCGCUUCCACCUCCGCCUCGCUGCUCCUUGCGCGCCUCGCCGGCGAUGAUGGUGAAGGAAAAGACGACGGCUUUGGAGCGGGCGAAGAAGGCGACGGUGAAGGCAAAGGGGAGAGCGCCUAGUCGGGGCGGAUCUUCGUCGCGGUCUGGCCUGCCACAAGGCUGGAUCCAGGGAGACUGGAUCCGCCCGACCAUCACCCAGAAGGACCUCGAAGACCUGGCCAACGAAGGACUGAUCCCCCAUGGGUCAGCGAGGCUUCCGGGGAAGGAGUGGCAGCCGCAGCCUCAGGAGGGUGAGUGCGUCCUCUUAGCCACCCAUGUAGAUCGCGGUUUUUCUCUGCCGCCGAAUCUUUUCUUCCGAGGGUUUCUGAACUUCUUUGUUGCACAACUCCAUCACUUCACACCCAACUCCAUUGCCUACCUCGCCGCUUUUGUGUCAUUGUGUGAAAACCUCUUGGGUUGCCGGCCGCACUGGGGCCUUUUCAAACACAUUUUCACUUGUCGCUGUCAGACGGUGAAAAAAGCUAGCCCGAAUGACGAGAGGACCCAAGUAAUCCAGAUGUGUGGGGGUCUUGGGGUUCAGAUGAGGAGUAAGAGUGCCUUUCCAGCCAUGACCCUUCCCGAGUUAGUCCGAGGGUGGCAGUCGACCUGGUUCUACUGCCAAGACCAGUCGACGCCAGGGAAGUCGACUGGCCUCCCCCCGUUAUCCAUGGACCGAGUGAACAAGCCAUCUUCUCUGAAGGUGCUUCCGGAGGAGAAGGCUCAGGUUAGGGUGUUGAUGGAGCGCGUGGUCCAGCUCAUUCGCGACGGAGUGACGGGCAUGGAUCUUCUAGAGGUUUUCCUUCGACGGCGCAUUCAUCCACUUCAGUACCGGGGCCAUCCGAUGUGGUUGUAUUCAGGUACUGAAGACACCACUCGGGUCCACCCGGAGGUGGUCGACGAUGUCACUCUGGAGAGGUGGAUGACCGCCAUCACGGGGAACAGAGAUAAUCGCCGCGGAGCCAGGAGGAUCCCACCACUCGAUCAGUCCUACGAAGCAGACAAGGUCUGACUACAUUUCCCUGACUGUGAUUCUGUUUUCUUCAUUCUGCUUUGCUGCAAUUCGGUCGACUGACUUUUAUCUUGUUUGUUGUCUUCUAGAUCACAACCGAGAUGUACUUGAUGCCCAACGGGGCGUAAGAACAGACCGAAGAAGAAGAAGGAAGUGGAGGUGAAAUUCAGGAGGAGUGGGAGUCGGACGGUGACGAAGGUGAAGAAGGUGCUGGCUCUGAUGAGGAAGAGGAGGAGGAAGAGGAGGAGGCAGUCGAGCCUCCUCGUACUGAAAGACGGUCCAAGCUCGCCCAUGAUCCUGCGGUCGAGCGAGGCAAGGGAGUCGUGCCUGCUGGGCAGUCGACCAAACGCCCUCGGACGACUUCUCCGGCGCCGACUAAGAAAGCGUCGAAGCAACCCCGAGCGGCACCAACAAAGCCGGCGAAGGCUCUACCAAAGAUGAGGAUGGAGAUUCCGACCGUUUCUGGGUAACGGCAUAACUCAUGUUUUCUCUUUCAACAUGGAUAUAUUCUUGGUCGACUCGAUUGCUGACUCACUGAUUUCUGAAAGCUGCUACUUCUGAGACCUCAGCCAGGCAUGACGAUCAAGAAAUGGAGGAUGCUGCCACUUCCAAUCCUGGUAUGAUCUGUGCAGUUUCACCUUCGGUCGAUCGGAUCUUCAUUUUUAACUUUGAACCUUUUCUGUAGCUCCACCUAGCAUUAUCAUUGAUCUCCCCGACGACGACGAUGAGGAGCCACUGAGGCAAAGGAAGAACAGGAAAGCGUCUGCUGGCAAGACUGCUCAGGUUGUGUCAGCGCCUGAGACAUUGGUUCCGGAGGGGGGCAACGUUGCUCGGGCUACCGUGUCCUUUGCGGUGUCGUUGAUGAGUGUCCGCCCUCCGUCAUCGAGUGUUGAUCCACCUUCCCUCUUCUCCACACACCACGUCCCGGAGGACCAAGCAGGUGCUGCCAAGGAAGCCAUACGCCAGGCGGGGGUCAUGAUGGAGUAGGUGAAGGCGAUCCGAGACGCCAACCAAGCAGCUUAUGAUGCAAGUUCAGCUCUCCAGAGCAAUGUCCAGGUUAGUUGACCACCGCCUGUUCUGUUAGGAUAUGAUACCUGACAAUUUUUCUUUCUGAACAUGUUAAUACUUGUCAUACACCCACUGGGUGUGUCGAUUGAAAGGUCUGGAUUAGUGGGGGCACGCUGAGUGCACCCACUGGGUGUAGUCCCCGAGACUACAGUGGACUGCUGGCAGUCGACUGUAGUCUUUAUGUCUUGAAUUUUUUUUACUUUCUUCACUCGAUCUGGUCCAAUGGAAUCAUGAAACUAGUGGGGGCAUGCUGAGUGCACCCACUGGGUGUAGUCCCAGAGACCGUGGUCGACUGCUGGUAGUCGGCUAUGGUCUGAAGAAUACUUUGCUCUUUUUUGUGUGUGUGUCUAACUGUUGGCAGUUAGCUACUUUCGGUCGACUGAUCAAUCCGAGCCGGUAGAACCAGUGGGGCCACGUUGAGUGCACCCACUGGGUGUAGUCCCCGAGACUACAGUUGAAAUUUUUGGUUCGGCUGCAGUCUUAGAAAUGCUACGAUUAUUCUCUUAGUCACUCGGAAAUGACCUGUCUUUGAUGUCUGUCGACUGAUCUUUCACAGAAAUCUUGCGAGCUUGUGGCUCGUUAUACUGAGUUGGAGAAGAAGCAUAUCCAGCUCGAACUUGAUCUGAAGCUUAUCCAGGAGAAAUUCACGAAGACGAAGGAGGAGGCAAAAGGUAUGUUUGGUGAGAACCUUGACGACUGCCCUUAUUUGUUGUCCAUUCCUGAGUCUGACCUCACUGUCAUUUCGUAGAUAAAAUAAGGGAUGCUCUGAAGAAGAAGGACCUUGACCUCGCCGAGGCGCAGAAAGCGGCUUCGGACAAGACGAAACUCACAGAAGAAAAGUUGGCUUCAAUCAGCAAACUUGAAGAGGAGAACACCAAUCUGAAAGCUGCUCUUGACGUGGCCAACAAGGAGGUCACUCGACUGAAGAAUGACAAGAUGGCCCUGAGUGACAAGGCUAGCGAACUGGUGGGAAAGAAGAAUGACUUAGAAGCUUAUCUGGGAGGGCUCGCCAAGAAGUUGUUCCUCAUGCUCGAAGGUAACCCCUUAUAUCCGAAUGGUAAUCACUGACUUAUUGUGUGAACGUUAGCUUAUCCUUGGAUCGUAUCCACAGAAUUCUGCCAAAACUUUGAAGAGGAGACCAGUCGAGUGGAGACUGGCUUAGAUCCCAUCAACUCUCCUAUGAAGGAUGAAGCCGCCAUGAACGUGCUCCGUCUCGAGUCUCGCGUUGCUGUUGUGGUUGACUAUCUUGCGAGACUGAAGGUUGCAACAUCCCGCAUCGACACAACACUUUGGACGGGAGAAACACUUCAGAACGAUCUCGAGUCUCUGAUGACUCGACUGAACGAAGUUCCAAGUCGAGUGCAAGAAUGGAAAAAAAUCUUCUGCCAGGUGUGGUGCCGAUGUUGCUCUGUCUCUGGUCCGUGUUCACUACAAGGAUGCGUGAGAGGACAAGCUGGCGUCUCUCAAAGUGGCCAACACCAAGAAGCAUGACUUCUGAUCUUUUAUGGAGAUUUUCAUUGCUGCUGCCACUCGGAUCGCAGAUGGAAUCGACCUGGACUAGUUCGUCGCGCCUUCCAGUCCUCCACAGGAGGAGUAAAAAACUUCUAUGCUCGAUGCUUUAAAUUUGCCUCGGAAUGCUGAGUGGUUUUUGUAACCAAUAAACUUUAACAGGCUUGGUGCCUGAGCACUUCUGGAUCCGUAGGACAUUAUCUGAACUUGGGUUUGCCGUUGAAUAUGUUUGCUUCUGCCUUCGAAUGAUCAUUGCCCUUUGCUUGGAAUAUAUACUAGUGUUUGUGAUGCACUUUUGCAGGUAGGGACGGAGCACAAAUUGCAAUCGACUUGUACUCGUCAUGCUUAGGCAAGCACUGGGCUGCAGCUAAGCGCCCGAGUGGGAGGUUUGCUCUCCACUCAGUAGGAUUUUUGCAAAAACUUAGGCGAGCACUGGGAUGCAGCUAAGCCCCCGAGUGGGAGGUUUGCUCUCCACUCGGCAGGAUUUUCAAAAACUUAGGCGAGCACUGGGCUGCAGUUAAGCCCCCGAGUGGGAGGUUUGCUCACCACUCGGUAGGAUUUUCAAAAACUUAGGCGAGCACUGGGCUGCAGCUAAGCCCCCGAGUGGGAGGUUUGCUCUCCACUCGGUAGGAUUUUUGCAAAAACUUAGGCGAGCACUGGGCUGCAGCUAAGCCCCCGAGUGGGAGGUUUGCUCUCCACUCGGUAGGAUUUUCAAAAACUUAGGCGAGCACUGGGCUGCAGCUAAGCCCCCGAGUGGGAGGUUUGCUCACCACUCGAUAGGAUUUUCAAAAACUUAGGCGAGCACUGGGCUGCAGCUAAGCCCCCGAGUGGGAGGUUUGCUCUCCACUCGGUAGGAUUUUCAAAAACUUAGGAGAGCACUGGGCUGCAGCUAAGCCCCCGAGUGGGAGGUUUGCUCUCCACUCGGUAGGAUUUUCAAAAACUUAGGCGAGCACUAGGCUGCAGCUAAGCCCCUGAGUGGGAGGUUUGCUCUCCACUUGGUAGGAUUUUCGUGGUGUACCUCCGAAGGAGAAUAUAACAGUCGACCUGCGCUUCGUCCUUCUUGCGGAGCGCACGUUGUAUUUGUGGCGUAGCUCGGAAGGAGAAGGCAGGAGUCGACCUGCGCCUCGUCCUCCUUGCGGAGCGCACAUUGUAUUUGUGGCAUAGCUCGAAAGGAGAAGGCAGCAGUCGACCUACGCUUCGUCCUCCUUGCGGAGCGCACGUUGUAUUUGUGGCGUAGCUCGAAAGGAGAAGGCAGCAGUCGACCUGCGCUUCAUCUUCCUUGCAGAGCGCACGUUGUAUUUUAUACUUAGGCAAACACUAGCUUGCAGCUAAGCCCCCGAGUGGGAGGCUGGCUCACCACCCGGCAGGAUUUGGUUUAAACUUAGGCGAGUACUUGGACUGCAGCUAAGCCUCCGAGUGGAAGGCUGGCUUACUACUCGGUAGGAUUUUGUUUAAACUUAGGCGAAACGGAUGCGCAGCUAAGCCUUCGAGUGGAAGGCUGGCUUACCACUCGGUAUGAUUUUGUUUAAACUUAGGCAAAACGGAUUCGCAGCUAAGCCUCCGAGCAGGAGGCUGGCUCACCACUCGGUAAGGAUUUUUUUACAAACUUAGGCGAAACGGAUUCGCAGCUAAGCCACCCACUGGGGGACUGAUUUGUGUGAACAAAAGUAACAACAAUCACUGGGAAAAUUAUAAAACUAUUGUCUUUGAUAAAUAAACUACAGAAGUACUUUUAUUACAACUCAUUCGAGUGAAUACUUAUGUAUAAAAGGGGCGGAGCAGAUCCGCAUUCCAAGCUCGUGGCUCGUCAAUCUGGCGAUCGACGUUGUAAAGAAGGUAUGCUCCAUUGUGGAGAACUUUGGUAACAAUGAAGGGGCCUUCCCAAGUAGGGGCGAGUUUGUGCGGCUUCUGUUGGUCCACUCGGAGGACCAAGUCUCCUUCCUGGAAGGCUCGGCUCUUCACAUUUCUGGCGUAGAAUCGGCGCAAGUCUUGCUGAUAGAUGGUCGACCGGAUCAUGGCCAUCUCUCUUUCUUCUUCCAGAAGGUCGACUGCGUCCUGCCGGGCUUGUUCUGCUUCGACUUCAGAGUAGAGCUCGACUCGCGGUGCAUUGUGAAGCAGGUCACUUGGCAGAACUGCUUCAGCUCCGUAGACCAAAAAGAAUGGAGUUCUCCCAGUUGACCGAUUUGGAGCAGUCCUCAAUCUCCAAAGAACUGAUGGAAGUUCGUCGACCCAUGCGCCUGCUGCGUGCUUGAGGUCACGCAUCAACCGGGGUUUCAGUCCCUUGAGAAUUAGGCCGUUUGCUCUUUCUGCUUGUCCAUUCGACUGGGGGUGGGCGACUGAAGCGUAGCCGACUCGAGUGCCUUGAGAAGCACAGAAGGCUUUGAACUGAUCGGAAUUGAAGUUUGACCCAUUAUCAAUGAUGAUGCUAUGCGGAACUCCAUAUCUGAAUAUCAAUUCUCUGAUGAAGCUGAUGGCAGUGCUAGCAUCAAGAUUUUUAAUGGGCUUGGCUUCGAUCCACUUGGUGAACUUGUCGACUGCCACCAGUACAUGGGUGAAGCCGCUCCUGCCAGUUCUCAGUGGUCCAACCAUAUCUAACCCCCAAACAACGAAAGGCCAGACGAUUGGAAUGGUCUUCAAGGCUGAGGCGGGCUUGUGUGACAUAUUGGAGUAGAACUGACAUCCUUCACACUUGUCGACUAUCUCUUUUGCCAUUUCAUUUGCUCUGGGCCAGUAAAAGCCUGCUCGGUAUGCUUUAGCCACGAUGGUCCGAGAGGACGCGUGAUGGCCACAGGUCCCUGAGUGGAUGUCGUUGAGAAUCAUUUGACCCUCUUCCGGUGUUAUGCAUUUCUGGCUGACUCCAGUCGCGCUUUCUCUGUACAACUGUACCCUCAUGACAAUAAAGGCUUGGAUCGACGGACGAUCUGCCGAGCCUCUUCUUCAUUCUCUGGGAGCUCUUUCCUUAGGAUAUACGCGAUGUAAGGCACUGUCCAGUCGGGAGUGAUAACCAGAACUUCCAUGAUUAAGUCAACCAAAGCUGGGACCUCAACUUCAGUCGGAUCCAUGGCACUUUUUGGCUGCGGGGCUUCUUCGGUGAAAGGAUCCUCUUGAACCGAAGGUACGUGGACAUGUUCAAAAAUACGCCACUAGGAAUGGCUUCUCUUUUGGAACCUAUCUUCGCCAAGUCAUCAGCUGCUUGAUUUUUCAGUCGGGGUACGUGAUGAAGCUCUAACCCCUCGAACUUCUUCUCCAGCUUUCUUACUGUGUUGCAGUAACCAGUCAUAGCUGGGCUUCUGACGUCCCACUCCUUCAUCACUUGGUUGACCACCAAAUCCGAGUCGCCGUAGACCAUGAGGCGACGGACGCCGAGUGAAAUGGCCAUACGCAACCCAUACAAAAGUGCUUCGUAUUCUGCUUCAUUGUUGGAGGAGUCAAAGUGAAUCUGGAGUACGUAUCUGAGCUUAUCUCCUUGGGGAGAAACCAACACUACCCCGACACCGUAACCAUUCAACAUUUUAGAGCCAUCAAAGAACAUAGUCCAGUGCUCCGAGUGAACUUGAGUCGGUAACUGCUGUUCAGUCCACUCGGCGAGGAAAUCUGCUAUUGCUUGAGACUUGAUAGCUUUCUUUGCCUCAAAUCUGAUAUCAAGGGGAAGGAGUUCAAUCGCCCAUUUUGCCACUCGACCAGUUGCAUCUCUGUUGUGCAGAAUCUCUGAUAAGGGGGCGUCGCUGACGACUGUGAUGGUAUGGUCAGAGAAGUAGUGAGCAACUUUCUUCGUGGUCAUAUAAAUCCCAUAUACAAGCUUCAGAUAAUGAGGGUAUCGUUGCUUUGAUGGGGUCAGGACUUCAGAAAUAUAGUAUACUGGGCGCUGAACUUUGAAGGUUUUCCCUUCUUCUUCCUGCUCGACCGUAAGUACUGUACUGACGACUUGUCCUGUGGCUGCAACGUAAAGCAGCAAAUGCUCUUUGCUGAUUGGGGCAGCAAGCACCGGCUGGGUGGAAAGCAGGGUUUUUAACUCUGCAAACGCUGCGUCAGCUUCAGGAGUCCACUCGAACUUGUCUGACUUCUUCAUCAGUCGGUAAAGAGGCAAUGCCUUCUCACCGAGACGGGAGAUGAAUUGACUUCGGCUAAGCAACCAGUAAGCUUCUGAACAUCGUGCACAUGCACAGGUCGUUUCAUUCGGAGUAUAGUGCCCACUUUCUCUGGGUUUGCAUCGAUUCCUCGUUCGGAAACGAGAAAACCGAGUAACUUUCCGCCAGGAACUCCGAAUGUGCACUUGGAUGGAUUAAGCUUGAUAUCAUACCUCCCGAGGUCGGCAAAUGUUUCACCGAGGUUAGUCAGCAGGUCAGAACCUUUCCGUGACUUGACCACAAUGUCAUCCAUGUAUGCUUCCACAUUCCGACUGAUUUGAGUGAGCAAACACUUCUGAAUCAUCCUCAUGAACGUGGCUCCGGCAUUCUUGAGGCCGAAUGGCAUGGUGACAUAACAGAAGCACCCAAAUGGGGUGAUGAAAGUUGUCUUGAUCUCAUCGGAUCCAUACAGACGGAUCUGAUGGUACCUGGAAUAGGCAUCUAAGGAAGACAGUCGCUCACAUCCCGCAGUCGAGUCGACUAUUUGAUCAAUGCGGGGAAGAGGAAAAUGAUCUUUCGGGCAGGCUCGAUUGAUAUGUUUAAAGUCAAUGCACAUGCGAAGUGAGUUGUCCUUUUUGGGGACCAUGACAACAUUGGCGAGCCACUCGGAGUGGUUAAUCUCUCGGAUAAACUCUGCUGCUAAGAGCCGAGCUACCUCUUCGCCAGUAGCCUUCCUUUUUUGGACGGCGGACUGUCGCAGAUGUUCCUUGAGAGGUUUUGCCUUUUAAUCGACUCGCAGACAAUGCUCAGCCAGCCCCCUGGGUACACCUGGCAUGUCAGAAGGUUUCCAUGCAAAGAUGUUCCAGUUCUCACGGAGGAACUGGAUGAGCGCUUCUUCCUAUUUGGGGUCGAGUGUUGUGGAGAUGUGAGUCGGAGCAGCGUUGGGGUCGGUCGGGUGGAUGUGAACUGGUUUUGUCUCACUGGACGACUGAAACGCUGAUUCCGUAGCGGGCUUCUUGGCUCGCAACAAAUCACUCGGAUCCGCAUUCCUCUGGUGUUCCUGCCACUCUUCUGCCACCAUCUGAGCAUCGGCGAUUUUUGAGCCUUUCUGGAAGCACUCUUCUGCCUUGUUGCGAUUACCAGUAACAGUGAUAACGCCUUUAGGGCCAGGCAUCUUCAAUUUGAGGUACACGUAACAUGGUUAAGCCAUAAAACGUGCAUAAGCUGGCCAGCCCAAAAUAGCAUGGUAGGCACUCUGGAAAUCUACAACCUCAAAUGUCAGCUUUUCUUUGUGGAAGUUCUUGGAAUCACCAAAAACCACAUCGAGAGCAACCUGGCCGAGUGAUGCGGCCUUCUUGCCAGGAAUGACUCCAUAGAAACUCAUGUUGCUUGUGCUGAGUCUGGACAUCGAAAUGCCCAUCCCUUUCAGCGUCUCAGCAUACAGUAUAUUCAAACUACUGCCGCCAUCCAUCAACACAUUAGUCAGUCGGGUGCCCUCAACGACUGGGUCGACCACCAGAGCUUGCCUCCCAGGGGUGGCUAUGUGCGUCGGGUGAUCAGACUGGUCGAAUGUGAUGGCCGUCUGAGACCACUUCAGAUAAUUGGGUGUUGCUGGAGCAACCAUAUUCACCUCUCGAUUUAUAACUUUCAGUCGACUUUUGCUCUCAACGUCAGCAAAAAUCACCAGAGUAGAAUUGACCUGAGGGUAUUCCUCGUCACUAUCUCCCUUGUCCUCAGCUUUGUCUGACUCCUUUUCCUUAUCCUUGGGUUGUUUCCCCUGGAACUGUUGUAUCAGAAGUCGACACUGUCGAGUGGUAUGCUUCGGGUAAAUGAAAUUACCCUCUUCAUAUUUCUUCAUGUGGAUGUGACACGGCAAAUCCAUCACAUCAUUUCCCUCUUUAUCCUUCACUUUCUUGGGGUUCCAAGGUCCUUUGGGCUUUCCUUUGAACUUUCCUUGAGUCACGGCCAAGGUUUCUCCAGGAGCAGUUGGCUCGGCUUUCCGCUUUUGCUUUCGACUAGAGUUCCCUCCUUCAGUUUCCUGGGCGACUGACUUGUGCUUGCCGCUCCGGAGCCGAUCCUCUUCCUCACCGUUGGCAUAUUUGGUGGCUAUCUCCAUCAUUCGACUUAGAGACAUGUCUCCGGUUCGACCGAAUUUCAGGCUUAGCUCUCUGUACUUAACACCUUCCUUGAAGGCGCAGACUGCUUGGUGAUCAGAUACAUUUUCUACUGUGUGAUGCAGUGUGAUCCAUCUCUGGAUGUAAUCUCUCAAAGUCUCAUUCGACUUCUGCACACAAGAUUGCAGCUCCGUCAGUCCUACUGGUCGCUUGCAUGUUCCUUCAAACGUUCUGACAAACACUCGGGAGAGAUCUUCCCACGUGUAAAUGUUGCUGGGUGUCAACUGAUUCAGCCAUGCCCUGGCUGACCCUUCCAACAUAAGAGGUAGAUGUUUCAUGGCCACCACGUCAUUUCCGCCGCCGAUCUGGACAGCCACUCGGUAGUCCUCAAGCUAAGUAUCAGGCUUAGACUGACCGUUGAACUUACUGACUCCAGUCGCCAACCUGAAGUUGGGGGGAAUCACUGCGGCUCUGAUGGCUCUGCUGAAACACUCUGGUCCGGAGACAUGCACUCGGCUGCUGGCGGGUACAUCUUUGUCGUGACCCUCUCUGUGAGCUCUGUUCCGGUCGACCAGACCUUGAACGAUGAUGGAUCUCGCAUCAAAGUCUGGUUCCCUGGGGUCGACUGGAAUUGUUCGCUCGCCACUGUGUUGGCGUCUAUCAUCCUGCUGUCGAGGUACGUAGGAUCCACCCCUAGGGGGAGGGGUGGGCACUCGACAUCGAUCAUCGCGAUCGAAUCGGUGAUCAUACUGCUCACGCUUCCUGUACUGAUCGUGCCGGUCUCCACGCCCUUCACGCCUCGGGGGCGAUCUGGGGCUAUGAGCCGACUGGACCGUAUUCGCAGCCACAGAUUUGCUGUGGAUCCUGUUCCGCGACUGUGAUACAGCUGAAUUUUGAUCUCCUGCUGCCCGGAGCAAAUCUCUGAUCUGCAUCAAGCCUCUGCCAGCUUCUGACUGGGAAGGCUGAAUUGAUUCUGCUAUACGGGCUGCAGCUGCUAAAUUUUGAAUCGGAGUUUGAUAUACCUAAGUCGGAGGUGGAAAGAGUUGACGUCGACUGGAGUCAGGGACUCGUUGUCGCGCACGCUCGUCGAGUGCUCGCUGAAGGUUCUCCAGUCGAGUGCGCUCAGCCAGGUUGGCCAAGUGCGCGUCCUCCAAGGCGCGAGCCUCGGGGGUUUCUCCAACGAUAGGAGUAUGAAGGGCAUCCAUGUUCCGGCGGUGAAGUUCUUCCCUCUACAGCGAAUUGAGGGGCUCGGGAAGGUACUCCUCAUGGGGAUGCGAUGGAUCGCCUCCGUCGUUACCUCCCUCGGCACCGGGAAAGCCGGGGGGACCGUGUGGUCCAUUGACCAUCAGGACCUCCACCGCUGGAGCACUGUUGUCGCACUCGGAUGCAGUCUCUGCGGAGCCAGUCGACAGGUCGAACAGGCCGUAGAGAGAUUCGUCGGGCUCGAUUGCCGUGACUUGGGCGGUGGUCAUAGUUUCAAAUAGCGGAGAUAGCAUCUGCUAUUGCGUCCGCAAUAGCGCCAGCGCAAGAGCGUCCGCUAUUGAUCAAACUAAAUGUAAUUACUUUUUGUGAAGGAUCUAGAAAUAUACACAACAAUCUAGUGUUUUUACAAAUCCGCUAUGUGGAUAUAGCGCCCGCAAUAUCACCCGCUAUCCGCAUUCCGCUACGCGGACCCCAAUCCGCUACCAGCCCGCUAUUCGCUAUUUAAAACCAUGGCGGUGGUCGACUGGCGAGCCACCGCGUGCCUCACCCACCGCUGAAGCCUCGACCGACCGGAGCGCUUGCGCCGGCGGGAAGCUGGGAGGGAGAAUGACACAAAAACCGGUCGAUACUGGAUCGACGGUUGCCGCAGGAGGACACCGCGGACGCACGCGCGAAAGUGCGUCGCUCCGCGGACUGGGAGCGCAUCGACGUCGAGCGGAGCCUCCUGAAGCCAGGUAGAGUCGUCGGCGAUGAACGUGAGCGCGCCGAGACGGAUCUCGCGGCCCUCGACCAAAACUCCACCUGAAACCAUGAUGAAGGCGAUCGGAAAAAAUUGCAACUUCUCCAAUAAAUCGCUAAGACACCGGCCCCACAGUGGGCGCCAACUGUCGUGGUUCUAAGUCUGACAGUAGUGUAGGGGAUACUAAAGGAGAGGCAAGAUCCUAGCUAUGGAGUAGUUGUUCACGCAAGUGUUUUACGAGUUCAGGCCCUUCUCGGAGGAAGUAACAGCCCUACGUCUCGGUGCCCGGAGGCGGUCGACUGGAUUAUAUGCGUGAGAGUUACAGGGGUGCGAACCCUUCUGCCUGUGGAGGGGGGUGGCUUAUAUAGAGUGUGCCAGGACCCCAGCCAGCCCACGUAGCAGAGAGUUCAAUGUACAUAAAGGCCAGACGUUACUGAUAACGCCUUACAUAAAGUGAUAUCAUGGCCAUAAAGACUACUUAAUAACAGACCGUUUGGCUGUAGAGUGACCCUAGAACUUCUGGUGGUCGAGUGACUCUUCAUGGUCGACUGUCUUAGAGGAAUCCUUCCAGGUCGACUGAAAGGUAGUUUCUUCUAGAGAUGUCCUUGGGUAGGAUACUUUGGACAGGUCCGUGACCCUACCCUAGGUACAUGGCUUCGUCACAGCCUACGUAAAACACAUAACUUUCUUUAAGUAGAUAUACCAUUACUCUAAGCCCCUUAUGAUCGAGAGAGAAACCCAUUAUCUGAUAAGCAAUGGUUAUUUUUAUGAGCACUUUCAUUGCACUCAUCGAAAAAUUAUAUUAGAUGCACCAUCAAGUAAGUCUCCUCACUUAUUGAUGAUUAAAAGUCUUCCACACCCUAGGUAUUGAUUGAUAAGGGAAAGUAAACAAAACUAUGGGAUGGUUUAUUUGGAUUUCGAUUGCUCCAUGGAAGUAUUAAGAGAUGGUUUUGAAGCACAAGCUCAACCAUAAGUGAUUUGGUAAGAGCAAGUAACAGAAAGGGUGGAUGUUCUAAAGAAAAGUAAUUAAAGUUUUUAUAGAAGCCCGAUCUCGUAUCAAAGAAGUAUGCUUAGUUUACAUGUCACAAUUUACAACAAUAAUGGGUUGUGACAUGGGCAAAAAGGCCUAUUCCCCGAGAAAAGGCGAAAAAUCAAAUCAUGGGCAUUCUUGAGCAAAAUUAAGCGUGUUAAGCACUUCAAAAUUUAAAGGAGAACCCCUACCACUUGCUCUGAAAGACAAAUGGCUUAUUGCAUGGAGUUGUUGCAUGUUCGUUAACGAAAUUAGCAAGGUGUGGAAGCCUUCAUGAUUAUCUUGGGUGUGAGGAUGUGAUAGCGUUCAUCACCAUCAUGUAUCUUAUGUGAAAUUUUGAAUCAAUGUAGUGGACUCAUUCAUUUACUUUAUCUGCACCUCACAAAUAUGUUGAUCUCGGUCUUUACAAACCGCGACAAUUGCUCGGAGAUAAGCAAAACCCUAAACUUGGGGGAGUGGAUAAGUCCAAAAUUUCAUCAUUUUUUACUCCCCGUUUUGCACCGAACUCAUAGGGUUUUAGAAACUUCAUCGCGCUCGCGUGCCCCUUUUAUCCGAUUUCACCCGGACCCUGACCACGAAGGACUUUUAGAGUAUAAGGACGAAAUCCUGAGGAUAUGCGGUGAAAAUCCUGUUUAUUUGCGUGGUAGGAACCUAUCAUAAAAAGCAUAAAGUUAAAUGGGGCAAAAAACUUACCAGCGCUUAUACCAGGCGCUAGGCACUGGUCAACUAUAUCACACAACCCUGCCUUCGGAUCAGAAGGAGGCACAGAGACAUCAGAAACUUCGUGACAAUCAAGAACCCUNNNNNNNNNNNNNNNNNNNNNNNNNNNNNNNNNNNNNNNNNNNNNNNNNNNNNNNNNNNNNNNNNNNNNNNNNNNNNNNNNNNNNNNNNNNNNNNNNNNNNNNNNNNNNNNNNNNNNNNNNNNNNNNNNNNNNNNNNNNNNNNNNNNNNNNNNNNNNNNNNNNNNNNNNNNNNNNNNNNNNNNNNNNNNNNNNNNNNNNNNNNNNNNNNNNNNNNNNNNNNNNNNNNNNNNNNNNNNNNNNNNNNNNNNNNNNNNNNNNNNNNNNNNNNNNNNNNNNNNNNNNNNNNNNNNNNNNNNNNNNNNNNNNNNNNNNNNNNNNNNNNNNNNNNNNNNNNNNNNNNNNNNNNNNNNNNNNNNNNNNNNNNNNNNNNNNNNNNNNNNNNNNNNNNNNNNNNNNNNNNNNNNNNCGUCUUUGCCGCACGUCGCAACCCAAGUACCCAACCAGAGGUCAAGUCGCCACUCAGCCCGACCCGACCCCGACCCACAAAAGGAACCCAGCCGACGACCCGACCCGACCGACCCGACCCACACGACGCACCACCAUGGCCGUGGCCGCACGCGCCCGCAGCUCGCCGCUCCUCCGCGCCCUCGCCGGCACGAGGCCACCGCCGCCGCGGCCCCGAUCCAUCCACGAGGGGCCCGACACCAUCGACGAGCUCCUGGACCGCCACCUCUCCAAGAAGUCCCCCACCCCCUCCCCCGCCCUCGACGACGACGCGGCGGAGGCCCUGGCGCGGCGGCGGCUGACGAGCUCGCGGCGGGAGGCGCUGGGGCUGUACCGGGACAUCCUGCGGGCGACGCGGCUGUUCGAGUGGCCCGACGAGCGCGGCGUGCCGUGGCGCGACACGCUGCGCGCCAACGCGCGCCGCGAGUUCGAGGAGGCCCGCGGCGAGCGCGACCCGGAGGUGGUCGCGCGGCUCCUCAUCGGCGGCCGCGACGCCGUCGAGCAGGCCCUGGAGCGCGUCGCCGACGCCUCCCGCCGCAUGGUCCAGGCCGAGGAGGCCAAGCGCCGCGGCGGGGCCUAGAUCCCCCCACCCCCACCCCGACUCGAUGCGCCCCAUACGUCCUCUUCUUCUUCUUCAGCUGCUGCUGCUGCUGCUUAUGUCUCUUAAUUUGGUUGUAAAAGUCACUAUGUACGAAGGUUUGUGUGAUGCUCACACAAAAUGAGUUGCUUAUGAAGCAUUUCUUCCUUUUCAUGCCCAGUUCUAUCUUUGCCAAGAAAUGUGACAGGAAAUCAAUUUCAUUUUGGAUUUGAUGAUCCAUGUAUGAUGUAUGUGUGUGUGCCAUACAACUAUACACCGAGUUACCUGUAAUUUCAAAAAAUUCAGUUGAGAAGAAUUGACUUUGUACAUCACAUCAUUGUCAGUUACAAAAGUCAAAAGGCGACGCUUCUUCCAAUCAGUGUGUAACCUCCAUUGCCAGCGGCAAGACAAACCCUGUUCGUCGAGCCGAUGCGACGAGUCACGAGUACAUGAGAGUUGAUCCCUCAUGUAUGCUCCCUGAAGAUUGUACUGGUGCUGGCAUCUGGAUUCAGAAGCUUUUGUUUAGAGCAAAGGAGCAUCAGAAUUCAGAAGCCGUGCAAGGUCUGAAUCUGUGACAUACAGCUGCAGCUUGUCAUGAAAUUAUAUCUGCACCCUGGCGUUCACUUGAUCUUGCUGAAAUGCUUUCAAGCUUUGCCAUCAACCAUAACCAUUCUGUUCACCAGUAGUCACCACAGCAGCAAGAGCCAUCUGAGAAUUGGUGAUAGAUAUUUGUGUCGCCAACAACAAUUCUCCGUCCUGAAUAUUUCGAUAUCAAUUUCAGCGCAUGAUGGCAGUCGUUGCAUAUACGCACAUUCUUCUUGACAAGAAUUGGGGUUCUGGCCUCGGAUGAUAUCAGACCAAAGACAACAGCCAGCCUCACACUAUGCUUGUUAGGCUCUGUUGUUCUCCUCGACUCCAGAGAGGUUGGAUCAGAUUGAUUCGUUGGGUCAACCAUUUCUCCAAUCUUUCCUGACAGAAAGUUGGACACUUCUUGAAUCAUCUUGCUCUGAGGGUGUGUCAUGUCCCCGUUGACAAAACUGCAGGAGAUGCCAUGAAGCUCAACUAUGCUUGUUGGUUCUGUCCUUCGCAGCCCCUUCUCCUCCAUCAGUGAUCUUAUUCUCUCGACAUCCUUCCAUCUCCCAGCAUCGGCAUACAUGGAAGAAAUAAGAACAUAGCAACCUGUGUUGUCAUGUUCUUGUUGGUCAUGUUCGAGUUGAAAUAUCCUCUCUGCUGCGUAUUCUGCUAUAUCCAUAUCAUUCCUGUUCCUGCUUGCAGUCAGUAGGGAGCCCCAAACCCUGAAUGUUGGAUCUAUUGGCAUUUUUUCAAUAAAUUGCAUAACCUCUCUAAGAUCACCUGCCCGACCGAGCAGAUCUGCCAUGCAUCCGUAGUGCUCAAUCUGUGGGACCAUACCAUAGUCACGUUGCAUUGAGUUGAACUGCGUCCAGCCUUCAUCUGUCAAGCCUGAAACACUGCAAGCAGUCAACACGGAGACAAAGGUACUCUCAUUUGGUUGCAGGCCAUUACAUUUCAUCUCAGAGAACAUUUCCAGUGCAGUUCUCCCCUGACCAUGAAUCGCAUAGCCCAUUAUCAUUGUGUUCCAAGAGAUGACAUCCUUACCUGCCAUUCUGUCAAAUAUCUCCCUUGAGGACACAACAUCGCCACACCUCGCAUACAUAUGCAUAACUGCGUUCAUGAUGAGAGUGCUCUCCCCGUAACCUAGCCUGACAAUGUAGCCGUGCAUCUGCCUGCAUUGUCUCAGCAACCCCAGCAAAACAAACGCCGGUACUACUGCCGACAUGGUGAAAUAAUCAGGAUAAAGAGGCUGAUUCAGUAAUUCGAGGAACAAUGAGAUGGCUUCCACAUACAUCUCCUUGUACAUGUACGCAGCGAUCAUAUUGUUCCACGAUACCAGAGUCUUGGUCGUCAUCUGUCCAAAUACCUUCUCCGAUGAUUUCACUUUGCCAACUUUGCUGUACAUCUCGAGAAGCGCAGUCUCGAGCACCACGUGAGGAAGAAACUGUCUUCUAGUUAUGUAACCAUGAACACUCCUUCCAUACAGUGAGCUCUCAGUUUGAGCGCAGGCAGCCAGCAGAUUGAUAGCGGUGACCACUUCCACCUGGUGGCCCUCUUCCUUCAUUUGCUCGAAGCAAUCAAAUGCCUCCUCGGGCUGUUCGUUGAGCGCAUACCCACCUAUCAUGCAAUUCCAUGUCACCACGGUCCUCAAUGGCAUCGUCGCAAACACGCCCUCGGCAGAACCAAUGUCGCCACACUUGCAGUACAUGUCAAGGAUAGAAGUGCCAACCUUGACGUCAUGCUCCAUCCCAUGCCUGAUCACGUAGGCGUGGACCUCCUGCCCUUGCAUCAGCGCCGAUUCCAAGCAGCAAGCGGCGAGCGCGGCUAUGAUCCCGACGCCGUCAUGCUGCACCUCCAGCGCCUCGUGCAUCUCCCUGAAGCAGUCCAGGGCCAGCGCCCCGAGGCCGUUGGACACGUAGCCGUCGACCAUGGAGUUCCAGGUGACGAUGUCCCUGGCCGGCAUUCCGUCGAACACCCGCUCGGCGUCGCCCACCAGGCCGAGCCUGGCGUAGAAGGCGAGGAGCGAGUUGCCCGUGUACACGUCGGCGGCCGCCACGCCGAGCCUGAUCGCCGCCGAGUGCGCCGCGCGGCCGUCGUCGAGCGCGCCGAGCCGAGCGCAGCACUUGAGGAUGACGGGGAAGGUGAAGCGGUCGGGGCGCGCGCCGGCGGCCAGCAUGGCGCGGUAGGCGGCCAGCGCGGCGCCCGGGAGGCCCGCGUCGGCGAGGCCCCGGAUGACGACGUUGUGGAGGAACGCGUCCCCGCUCCCGGCGGCCGCCAGGGCCUCCAGGGCGUCGUCCAUGCGGCCGGCGGCCGCGUGCGAGAGGACGAGCGACUUGGUGCCGCCGCGCUUGGGCCGCACGCGCGGCGGGGGCUCCCUGGAGGUGGCCGCGGCAAGGUGCUGGGAGGCGCAGGUGGCGGUGGUGGUGGCGGCGGCGUGGGCGCCGCGGGAGGCGAGGACCGGCGGCGUGGCCAUGGGUGGAGGACGGGGCCUAUCCGGGAGGAGCCGAGCCAACCAAGCGAAGCAAGGGGACAAGAGGGUGGUGACGUGUCGCCUGGAUUGCACUGUCGUAACGGCGCUGCUGCUUCGCCUCAACUGAAAGUUACCUCCUCCAACUUUUCACCACAAGCUAAGUCUGCCAUCACAGUCAGGUCAUUUCUUUGGCUUCUUCAUCCAGGGCGAAGUCGAAGUCGCUUGCUCAAGGGACGUCGAUGAUGCCUGCUUGAGGAGAAGCGAUGACAAUGACUACGAUAUGUUGUCUCGACGAGGCUCUCUCCGUAGAUGCAUGUGUGGGAUAUCAUGUUUACCGCUCAGUGGAUUGUAAUGAUUUUCCUAACCAAACAACUUGGCUCAUGAGUUAUGAAGUGUAUCUUAUUUUAUCCUCAACAAUGUGGGUAUGGUUGGUUUUAGCCUAAUGUUGCCCUACAAAUAGUUGACUAUCCAAAACUUUGGUGGAGAUUUUAUUUGCCCAUGAAUUGGCUCCAAACAUAGACAAAAGAAAAUUGGUCAUUACCAAAAAGUUUCUAUGGUGGACUUUUUUUAUCAUUAAUUGUAUCGUAAUGUACAAGCAUGUGUGUUGUCGUUCUGCAUGUAGUUUAGUCUAGGGUGUUGUUUGUCUGGUGAAGCUUCGGCUUUAGCACGUGAAGGAGGCGAGAUGUGAGGCUACUGUGUGAUGCAACAUCCAAAAGUGUGAUGCUAUAGUGUUGUGUGAUGCAACAUGGUCGCAUGAAGCGUCAAGUCAAUCAAUUUGCUGGAGCCGAGAGAAUCAGUGAGUUAGUUAACUGCAUUAGUGGCGUAGUUGCACACCGUGAGCAUAGCGUGAGCAUAGGAAACGGAUCAUGGUGUUGGCCCUUAGCCGUGUUAUGUUGUAUAUAUGCUUUUGCAUUGAGUAAUAGAAAAGAGGUGUGCAAGAGAAACAAUGUAGCCAUGGUGGUCACCAAGAAACUGCCUCUUGGCGAAGACAUUGUGUUCUUCUUUCUAUGAGCAAGAAGGGAGUGUAAAGCGUAAAAUCCUUCGGGAUUGUAAAUUCCUUGUUGAUUGCAAAAUCCAAUUCAUAGAGAAGAGAGCAGAAGAGGGGUUGCGAGAUGAAGUGCCAACAAUUGGCAUUAGAGCUUCAAGAUCCUAGAUGGUGGCGGUGACCUAUCGGACUCCAUGAGAGAUGAAGCCGGUGACGCAAGGAGGCGGGGGGCAGUGUAAUGUUGCUUCUAGCCGAGGGUGGUGCGAUACCGCUUAAUGGAAGUGCACCGGCGGCCAUGCGAUGUCGUUGGUAGCAUGUAUCAUGGUGGUCUGAUGCCAACAUCUCGAGGGGGAGUUUGUGUGGUGCUGAUGGUGGUGGUGCGAUGCCAUCGCCAUCAUGGAGAGUUGGUGUGAAGCCAACAAAUGUUAGCUCAGUGCGAUAUUGCGGCAAAAUGGAGUGCUAAUGGGCAAUGUGAAGGUGUCCUCUCGACAAGAUAGCUUUGAGGUGAUCAACGUUGCGAAGGCGUUGCCCAAGAGAGAAGUCGCUUGGUGUGGCAAGUGGCUACAGGUGAACCUAUUGAGGAUUUGGCGAGUCAGCAUGACAAGAUUAGGAAGAUGAUUGUUUGCAUUAAUCUUAUCAUGAUGUAUAGGCAUGCAUGUCUUCUGCAUGUAGUUUAGUCUAGAGUGUUGUUUGUUCGGUGAAGCUUCAGCUUAGCACGUGAAAGAGGCGAGAUGCCAGUUACCGUGUGAUGUGGUGUGUAAAGGUGGAUGCUAUGGUGUUGUGCGAAGCAACUUGGUCGCGUGAAGCAGCGAGGUACAUGCGGACUUAAGUCAGACCGACAAGUCAUUCAAUUUGUUGGAGCCUAGAGAAUCAAUGAGUUAGUUAGUUGCAUCAGUAGGGCACUUUUUUAGCAUUAUCGGUACGGUAUUUUCUUUUGAGCAAUUCAUCAAUAGGGUAGUUGCACAUGUCCUGGAUGUGAGCAUAGGAAACAGAUCGUUGUGCCGGACUCUAGUCAUGUUAUGCUGCAUAUAUACUUUGCUUUGAGUAGUAGAAAAGAGGCGGACAUGGUCACCAAGGAAGUAUCUCUCAACAGACAUUGUGUUCUUCUUCCUUGGUGUAUAUGUGUGUGUGUGUUCUUGUGAGGCUUCACUGUGAGCAAGAAGGGAGUGUAAAGCAUAAAAUCCUUAUGGAGCGUAAAUUCCUUGUCGAGCGUAAAAUCUAAGUUCAAAGAUACAAAAGAAGACGAGGGGGUGCGAGAUGCAGCAACAGAUUCGGCCACCAUCCAAACACACAUGCUCCCUCCUUUCUCGGCUUAUUUGACUUAGUAAGUCAAACCCUUUUUGUUCGAUGAAGCUUAUUGUUCAUGUGUCACGCCAUGAGCUUAUUGUUCAUGGCAUGGCAGAGCCUACCGAAAUAGGUUAUGAUUGUCCAGCACCAACUAGAAAUGACAAGUGCACGGAAAAUAAAACUGCACUGGAGAGGUUUUGUUUUCUUUAAACUUCCUAGAAAUAUUGCCUCUAGCAUCUGAAGUACAAGCUACCCCAGAAAAUGCUUGUAAGAAAACAGAGUUACAAGAACAAGAAUGUAUCACGGUAGCUGGAUACAGAUUGGGAAAAAUAUAUCAGCAGCAGAUACUACAAAAAUAUUCUGAAUUUGUGACAAAUUGUCCUCAUGAUCCUCAGGUGUGGUGAUAGCAGAUGUACUCCGCAACUUGCUAGCCCAUGUUUCAAGACGCGUGAAUUAUACACAUUGCUUCCUUUUCAGGAUCUGCAAAGUCAAAAAAAAAAUUAUUAGUUUUAUCGGUUUGACACAUCAUGCAACGCACAUUCCACAAGUAUAUCUGUAUCACACAACAUCAUAUGUAAACUACCUUGUAAAGGAAAGUAAACAAAAUUCUAAGAUUGAUUUUAUUUGUUCACUAGCCGCGAUACACAUGAAUAUGUAUUCAACUAAUAAGGUGAAAACUAAAAAAAGGAAACAAAAUCGGCUGCAACAAAACCCGUGUUCAUUUAAGUACCUCUUGAAGAUUUUGGAGCAGCCUUUCUUCCAAAUCUAUAGAUCCAGUUCCGAAAACGUUGUACCUUCUCGGUUCAGGUGUUUGAGUUGACUCUGUUGGCAACACGCCCGACUCUUCAACAAGAGAAACACUUAAUGGGACCAGGAAAACAUUGUAGACAGAAUGUUUCUCCAGUGUCAUUUUCUGUUAAAACAAGCAUUUGUUAGCCACAUUAUAGAAACAUAUAAUCGAUUCCCACAGAUAAUAAAGCUUGAUAAAGAUCCACAAGAUGAUAUGCAAAUGAAACCAAUGACAUAAAUACUGAACCACAAAUAGAGACAGCAAGAAGCCAUGCACGAUCAAACAUGGGUAUGCUGCCAACAUUGUAAGAAUUGCUUAUAGACUUCAAUCUUGCAGUGGAUUAAAAACAAACUCAAUUUUCUGUGCUAGUUCAAGAUCUAUAGGACUUUUGCGGUGGAAAAACUCUCCAGGACAAAAGUAAUAAUAUAGAGAAAUGAGACUUACUGCUACCAAUUUGGAAGCCAUGAUAACAAGUGGUGAACCCUUGCUCCUUGAUUUCUUAGCACUAGUAGAAAAGGGGGCAAAGGUCCAGGCCGGGUCAGCCCAAUAGUCCCGGCUCGGUCCAGAACCGGGACCCAUGGGGGCAUUGGACCCGGUUCGUGAGCCCCGGGGGCCGGCCGGGCCACGUGGGCCAUUGGUCCUAGUUCGUCUGGACCUUUUGGUCCCGGUUGGUGGGACGAACCGGGACCAAUGGGCCUCGCUCCUGGCCCACCACCAUUGGUCCCGGUUGGUGGCUUGAACCGGGACCAAAGGCUGCCCUUUAGUCCCGGUUCAUGCCACCAACCGGGACCAAUGAGGUGCCUAUAUAUACCCCCUCGCUUAAGAGCAGAGCACAAUGCUCUGUUUUUUCUGGCCGCCGAGGGGGAGAGGGCUUGGUGGUGCUCUAGCUCACCUUCUAUGCACACAAGGUGUUCGAUUGAAUGCCCGAGCCACACUACUUAAGCUUUCUCCUCUCCAAGCUCGACCUCCAAACUCCAUUUUCCUCAAUAUUUGUCUAGGUUUAGUGGUCCGUCAUGCCCCGUCCCCGUCUUCACCGCCAUCGAUCACUCACGCCGAUCUCAUCGCCGGCACCACCAUGGUGAGCCUCUUGUUCUUAUCUUCUUUCUAAAAAGAAAACUAUUCUUACUUGUAUGUUUAGAUAGAUACUUGUAUUAUUUUCUUACUUUUAUUAUUGCAUCUUAUAUAGUGCGAUGGUUUUGGUAUCCGCCCCCGUCGGCCCUCGUCCUUUCUAUGAUUCGGAUGUGGUAUAUAUUAUCUUUUCAUAACUAUUGGUUCAUUUAUUGUUUAUGACAAUUAUGCCGACCAACAUGACAUAGAUUUUAUUUAUCUAGGAAGUUGUUGAACCGGAAAUUCCAACCGACCCUAUUGUCGAGAGGUUAAAUUUAGUUGAAGAAGAAAACAAUUUCUUGAAGGAAAAAAAUAAGAAAAAUUGAGGAGGAGAAGAUGAUAUUGGAGUUGCAUGUUGCGGAUGUCGUCGAUGAUCACAAGAUCAAGAUGGAUGCAAUGCACUUGAAGAUUAGAAAGAUUAGAAAAUAUGCCCAUUCAUACCGAGGCUUGGUAUCAUUAUGCCGUUGGAUCAGUUGUUACCUUGGUUGCGAUUAUGAUCGCAUUUGUUUUCGCACUGAAAUGUUUUACAUAGUUUCAAUGUAUGGUUUAAUUAAUUUAGAUGCCCUGUGGAGCUUUAUGUUGUUAGAUAAGAACUAUGUAUGUACUUUGGUUUUAAUGUGAUGAUGAACUUCUAUUAAUUUGGUCACUUAAUUAUCUAUUCAUGAUGUUCUGUAAUGAUUUUUGACAUACUUAAUUAUAUAUAAUGCACGUAGAUGAACCGGCAAUGAAUGUAAGGUGACAGACACACCUCCGAGUACAUUAAGAGCGUGCAUGAUUUUCUCAAAGUGGCUGAGGCAAACAAGCAGAAUGGUUUUAUGUGUUGUCCAUGCCCUAUAUGUGGGAAUACAAAGUCUUACUCUGACCGGAAAAUCCUUCACACCCACCUGCUUUACAAGGGUUUCAUGCCACACUAUAAUGUUUGGACGAGGCACGGAGAAAUAGGGGUUGUGAUGGAAGACGACGACGAAGAAGAGUACGAUGACAACUAUGUGCCCCCUGAAUACAGUGAUGCUACUGAACAUCAAGAGGAACCAGAAGAUGUGCACGAUAAUGCUGCAACGGGUGAAGCUGCUGAAAAUCAAGAGGAACCAGACGAUGUGCUCGAUGAUUUGAUCUUCGCCGGGUCAUUGUCGAUGCAAGGACGCAACGCGAAAGUCAAAAUGAGAAGUUGAAGUUCGAUCGCAUGUUAGAGGAUCACAAAAAAGAAAGGGUUGUACCCCAAUUGCGAAGAUGGCAACACAAAGCUCGGUACCGUACUGGAAUUGCUGCAGUGGAAGGCAGAGAAUGCUGUGCCUGACAAAGGAUUUGAGAAGCUACUAAAAAUAUUGAAGAAGAAGCUUCCAAAGGAUAACGAAUUGCCCGACAGUACAUACGCAACAAAGAAGGUCGUAUGCCCUCUAGGAUUGGAGGUGCAAAAGAUACAUGCAUGCCCUAAUGACUGCAUCCUCUACCGUGGUGCGUACAAGGAUUUGAACGCAUGCCCGAUAUGCGGUGCAUUACAAUAUAAGAUCAGACGAGAUGACCCUGGUGAUGUUGACGGCGAGACCCCCAGGAAGAGGGUUCCUGCGAAGGUGAUGUGGUAUGCUCCUAUAAUACCACGUUGAAAUGUCUGUUCAGAACCGGAGAGCAUGCCAAGUUGAUGCGAUGGCACAGUGAGGACUGUAAGAAAGAUGAGAAGUUGAGAGCACCCGCUGACGGGUCACAGUGGCGAAAAAUCGAGAGAAAGUAUUGGGAUGAGUUUGCAAGUGACCCAAGGAACGUAUGGUUUGCUUUAAGCGCGGAUGGCAUUAAUCCUUUCGGGGAGCAGAGCAGCAAUCACAGCACCUGGCUCGUGACUCUAUGUAUGUAUAACAUUCCUCCUUGGAUGUGCAUGAAGUGGAAGUUCAUUAUGAUGCCAGUUCUCAUCCAAGGCCCUAAGCUACCAGGCAACGACAUCACUACAAGAAACCUGUUAAUCCAUGACGGAUUUCUCAUGACGUUCUCACAAAUUGUCACAGAAACCGUCAUGAAUCUGCAAGAUGUGAAUGGGCCUCAAGACGAUUAACCGAUUAUGAUGGACAGCGAUGGACCGUCACAAAAACCGUCACUAAUCAACCAACUUGGCCUUUUUUUUAUUUACACAUCAUUUGUUCCGUCACGGGUGGCUCCUGUUGUGCGUGCCGUUUUGUUUGGCCUAUUCGUCAGUCCAACGCAACAGUGAAUACGAAAAAAAAAGAGAAACGAACAGAGCGCGCGCGAGAAGGGCAAUUUUAAGUCGCCAGCGCGGGGAGUGAAAAAUUUCGAGUCAGCCCAUUUUACUGCAGAGUCCACACCAUCCUAACCCUAGUUGCCCUUGUCCCGUCUCCUCCCAUACCAACCAGCCUCCGCCGCCACUCCACCUUCCCUCCUCGCGUCGCUUCAUGUCGCCGGCGGCGGCGCCAGGCCCCUCCAUCUAUCCCGCACCGGAUCCCUUCCCGUCUACCCCACCGCAUGCCCCUUCCCAUUUAGGUCGCGCCCUCGAGCUACGGCGGCCCAGUCUUGCCUCUGGAGCUGAUGCGGCCACGAUGGCAGCAGGACCGACUGGCGGGUUUGGAACCCCCCGAGGUUGCCGGCGGCGGCCACGGAUCCAUCUCCGCGGCGAGCCAACAUGAGUGAGUAAUCAACCCUCCCCCCCUUCCCCGCCCCCCUACAAGCCACACACACGCUUCUCCUCUGCUAUUUGUUCAUCGGGAUGUACUUUUUACACAGCUUCUUAUUUGGCUUGGGGGAUUUGCAGGUCAGUCUCGUGGGGAUGGUGAGCGGCAAGGCGGAGCUGAACACGGACGUACCCUUCACGCUCAACAACGGCACCGGCCCCGUAAUUUCAUCAGAUGGUGAGUGCAGCUCGGCAAAUGCCUUUCUUUUAAAUGAAUUCCAGAUGUAUUUAUCAGAUAAAACCUUCACACCAAGCGGGAGAAGCUUGACCAAUAACAAUGUUGACAACCGAUAGGAGGCUCCUUAAUGUUGUUUGUUUGGGAAACAGGUUUUGCUUAUAAGCUCACCUGAUUGGGGACUGAAUCCAUGGAGAAUAAACAUGAUCAAACAACACCUCAGAAAACACCUGAAUUCAUAUCCAAUAAAAAGUUUAAUUUAACAUGAUUUUAUAUUCAUGUAACAGUAUUAUUUUAUUAUUAUUAUUUCCAUCUUAUCCAUUCAGGCAUCUACCAGUUUCCAGUGAAUAUGCAUCACGGUCACCUGCAACAUUAUUUAGUUUUUCAUCCAUUACCAAAUAUUGUUGAAUCCAUAUGUGUUUUUAGUCUGUCCGGAUUAGACAUCAAUUCUUUUUUUUUUUAAACGGAGUUACACACCAAGGCUGGAUUAGUCCGCUUCACUGAUUUCUAAGCUGUAUGACAGGCCUCAAAUAGUCAUAUAUUAGUAAAAGCAUGCCAUGAAAGAAGCUGUCAAGUUAUCUGCUUCUUAUUCCUCCCAUCCAGGGGCACAAAAACUGAAGCAAAUACUGGUAAUGAAUACUCUGUAGGAAUUUAAUAAUGUAAGUACAUAGAUAAAUCUAAGAGGUAGUGACAAAAAAUCACGAGCGAUUUAACUAAAGUACUAAACAGAGGUCACCUAAUAGUUAACAUGAUAAUUACCUUUUUUUCAAUUACCUAGUUAGUUGAUCUGUUUUAGACUUUUGUUUGGAUUCCAUUGCUGGAUGUUGGCUAUGGAAUUUGUCCAGUGCUGCAACUUGAAUCUUCACUUGAUUGAAAUGUUGUUGGCUGUUAGUACGACAGUGCAAGAAAUCCAAUAAUUGGAAUUAAACCUGUAGGUUCUUAACCAUCUCCACUUAAUUCAGAAAUUGAGUUCCGAGCUAAUCUUAGUCUCCUAAAGAUUGGAUUAAUGGGCUGUCCUCCUGCCUGAAAACAAAAGCAAAAAAAAAAAACUGCACAUCACCGCCUGCCUGGCCUCGCACUCUUGCUUCCCAAGGUUGAAAAAUCGACCCUCCUUUCAUGAUGCUGCUGUCGCCGCUGUUGCCAGGAAGCCACACGCCCCUAAAGAGCAACAGGUAAAACUGAUGGAUGUUGUGACAUCGAUGUUGCACUGCACAUAUGUCCAAAGUAAUUGCAGUAAUAUCUUGCACUGUACAUCUGUCCAUGGCUGGCCUGCGUGACGAGGAUGAUUAGAUUGAUUUACUCCUCUGCCUAGUAUGCAUUGCUGUUUGCUGUCACUGGGAUAGUGGGUUAUUCCUCCUUAUUCUUCUACGUUUCUGAUUGGAUCUUUAAGUUUUGUUUUUCCUAAAGUUUCAAUUGAUUCUAGAUUUAUGUUAAGAAAAAAGAAGAAGCACAUUUGGGAAUGAUUCUGAUUUGUAUGUAUACAUUCAAAUUUAAGGUGCUACAUUGUUCUUCUCUGGGGCAAUUGGUGCAAAAUCUAUACCAAAACAAUUUCAAGUCCAGGACUAGAGGUGAUGUUCUUUUGCUCCAGUUCUUAUGUAUAUAUGUAAGAAUUUAUCUGUAGUAGGCUGAUAUGUUCAACCAAUUUUCCAGCCUAGUGGUACUUUAAGGAUAUCGUCAUCAUGCCGGUGCAAGGUAAGCACCGUGUCUCUUCCUCCAAUUGUCCCAACAGUAGCAUAUCACUAUGGCAUAUCUGUGAUGAAAUAAUCUUCGGUCAAGAUAUGUUAUUCUUACCAUCAAGAACUAACUAGCCUUCUCUUUUCACCAUAUCCUGUAACUAUUGUUGAAUUAAUUGGUUGCGAAAUACCCAUUAUUCCUUGCAAAGAAUCAUGAUUAUUGAUCAAGUGAAAAAGUAGAAUAGCAGCUAGUUUGACGCAACGUAUUUCUGUAGUAAGUCUUAUUUCAGAAAGGAGGUGCGUGUUGGUACUCUUUAAUCAUGUGUACUUCUAAAUCUUAUAGCUCGCUGUUAAAGUUGUAAGACUGGUAAAAAUUAGCUUUACACAACUACUUUUCAUAUGUUCGAAGAUUAUUGUUACUCAAAGUACUACUAGAUUGUAGUUAGUAUGUAGAUGUUGUUCAAAAUUAUUUUUUCUCAAGUGAUCACAUUGUACUACGUAUUUCUGGCAGCUAUAUUUGUAUCAGUUUUCUUUCUGAUUUUGUGAACUGAUGUGCAUCCCAUCACACCCGCGAAUAACAUUUGAUCUGAAUCGUUAUCAUAGUCUAUCAAAUUUGACACCCCCAAUAUCUCCAGUUCACUGGCGAACACAUUAAAUCUAUAUACUUAUUUUAAAUUAUGAUGAAAGGAGUGCCGCUGAGAUGUGUGGAGUGGAGGAAAAAUGUUUAGAUAUAUACCUGAAUUAAUAAGAUGUCCAAAGAACAUCUAAUAAUUACAUGCAUGUAAAAUCAUUACAGAUUUGUAUCGGAUAUAGUAGAUAUAAAACUGUACUUUGUUUUUUUGCUACCAACUUUAACCGUGGGCUUUUGAACAAGCCAAGUGUGUUUUAUAUGCUAAUUUCAAAUAAUGAGCAUGGCGGCAUAUGCUUAAAUGCCUUAAAGGGAAUAGUAAACGAAACAUUUUUUUUAACUUGUAUAUAGUCUGCUUUUUUAGCGUGUGGUUCCCACAUUUUCAUGGUACCUUAAUAUAGUAGUGGUGUCCAUCGGAUGAUUGCUUGGAAAAUAAACUAAUAUUAUUACUCUCUCUAGAUUCAUAUGGGAGUUUGCUGUUAUAACUUAUUAUAAUUUUGUAUGUCUUUUGGAUUCCAUGCAGGUUUGGCGGUUAGUCUGUGUUACUUGAGAUUCAAGUUUUUUAGCAGGAAUUACUUGGGUCCGUAUAGCUUCUCGGAAGGCUGCUUGUGUUGGAGACUAAAAUCGGCUAGGACAUUUUUUCAUGGAAGUCAUGUUACUAAAAAAAUGCUCAUAGCUCUUUCGAGAUAUGCUUGUGCUGAUUCGAUAUUAAGCUUUGUUUUUUGAAAUCAGACUAGAUUGUUGGUACUUUGUAUUAUGAUGUGAACAAAUGUUAUUUUUUGAAUGAAUAUAAUUUGGUUGUCUUCUGUGUUGCAUUAAGAAAACAAGCUGGACUAGAAAAGGGGCUAAUGGGUUGGACUAAAAAAUUUGGUAGGCCAAUGGGUAGGACCAAAAUAAUAGCAAAUGGGUUGGACUGGAAUGGAAUUAUUGGGCCAAGACACUAAUUGGGCUGGUUACUAUAUGAGCCACGCUGGCCUCCACGUCAGAUCCACAUAGAUGCCAUGUCAGCUCCAUGUUACUUCCAGGUCAUGUAAAUCGGUGAUAGUUUGUUUCGUCAUAGCCUAGUUUGGGCUGGGCGGGAUGGAAGGCACGAUGUCAAAUUAUGACGCGAUAUACAUGACAGAUUUGAAGUCCGUCAUGGAUGGGUGUGCAUGACAGUUUUUGGCUGAUCUGUGAUGGACAAAAGCCGUCAUGUAUUAACAGGUUUCUCGUAGUGCAUUGAUGUGUACCUAAGACCAUUAGUUGAAGAACUUUUACGGCUGUGGAAUGAAAACGGUGUAUGUACGUGGGAUGAGCACAAACAAAAGGAAUUUGACCUAAAGGCGUUGCUGUUCGUGACCAUUGGCCCGCUCUCAGUAACCUUUCAGGAUAGACAAACAAGGGAUACCACGCAUGCACACACUGUUUACUUGACACCGAUAGUAUAUACUUGGGAAGCUGCAGGAAGAAUGUGUACCUGGGCCAUCGUCGAUUUCUUCCGACCAACCAUCAAUGUCGAAAGAAAGGCAAGCAUUUCAAAGGCGAGGCAGAUCACCGGAAGAAGCCUGCCAUGCGUACCGGUGAUCACGUACUUUCUAUGGUCAAUGAUUUACACCUAAUCUUUGGGGUCCCGGUGCACUAGCUGUUCUGAAUGACGCUGAGGGACACGCACCCAUGUGGAAGAAGAAAUCUAUAUUUUGGGACCUACCCUACUGGAAAGACCUAGAGGUCCGCUCUUCAAUCGACGUGAUGCAUGUGAUGAAGAACCUUUGCGUGAACUUGCUAGGCUUCUUGGGUGUGUAUGGAAAGACAAAAGAUACACCUGAGGCACGGGAGGACCUGCAACGUUUGCACGAAAAAGACGGCAUGCCUCCGAAGCAGUAUGAAGGUCCUGCCAGGUACGCUCUUACGAAAGAAGAGAAAGAAAUCUUCUUUGAAUGCCUGCUCAGUAUGAAGGUCCCGACUGGCUUCUCGUCGAAUAUAAAGGGAAUAAUAAAUAUGCCAGAGAAAAAGUUUCAGAACCUAAAGUCUCAUGACUGCCACGUGAUUAUGACACAACUACUUCCGGUUGCAUUAAGGGGGCUUCUACCGGAAAACGUCCGAUUAGCCAUUGUGAAGCUAUGUGCAUUCCUCAAUGCAAUCUCUCAGAAGGUGAUCGAUCCAGAAAUCGUACCAAGGCUAAGGAGUGAUGUGGCACAAUGUCUUGUUAGUUUCGAGCUGGUGUUCCCACCAUCCUUCUUCAAUAUCAGGACGCACGUCCUAGUUCAUCUAAUCGACGAGAUUGUCAUUCUAGGGCCCGUAUUUCUACACAAUAUGUUCCCCUUUGAGAGGUUCAUGGGAGUCCUAAAGAAAUAUGUCCGUAACCGCGCUAGGCCAGAAGGAAGCAUCUCCAUGGGCCAUCAAACAGAGGAUGUCAUCGGGUUUUGUGUUGACUUCAUUCCUGGCCUUAAGAAGAUUGGUCUCCCUAAAUCACGGUAUGAGGGGAGACUGACUGGAAAAGGCACGCUUGGAAGGGACUCAAUAAUAUGCAGGGACGAAUAUUCUUGGUCUCAAGCACACUAUACAGUUCUACAGAACUCUACCUUGGUGACUCCGUAUGUCGAUGAACACAAGAACAGUCUGCGCUCCAAACACCCAGAGCAGUGCGACGACUGGAUUACAUGUGAACACAUCAGGACUUUCAGCAGUUGGUUGGAAACACGUCUCAGAUGUGACAACAAUGUUUGUGAUGAGCUGUACUUGUUGUCCAGGGGACCAUCUUCGACUGUUACGAUUUGGAAAGGAUACGAGAUAAAUGGGAAUACAUUUUACACGAUGGACCAAGAUCAAAAGAGCACCAACCAAAACAGCGGUGCCUGCUUUGAUGCAACAACCGAGAGGGGAAAUGACACAUAUUAUGGUUACAUAGUGGACAUAUGGGAACUUGACUAUGGACAUGAUUUUAAGGUCCCUUUGUUUAAGUGCAAAUGGGUCAAUCUUUCAGGAGGCGGGGUACAGGUAGACCCACAGUACGAAAUGACAACAGUGGAUCUGAAAAAUCUUGGGUACACUGACGAACCAUUCGUCCUAGCCAAUGAUGUGGCACAGGUUAUCUAUGUGAAGGACAUGUCUACCAGACCGAGAAAAAGAAAAGAUAAGGAAGCGAAUACAUCAUACGAUGAGCCAAAGCGCCACAUAGUUCUUUCAGGAAAAAGGGACAUCGUGGGAGUGGAGGGCAAGACAGACAUGUCUGAAGAUUAUGAAAAGUUUCAUGAAAUUCCUCCCUUCAAAGUCAAGGCUGACCCAAGCAUCCUGAUAAAUGAUGAAGAUUAUCCAUGGUUACGGCGCAAUAAGCAAAUGACACAAGCGAAGAAAAAGUGAAGACUUUCUCCCGCAACUAUUAUGAUGAUACCAUGCCAACUUUGUAACAAACGAGCGUUUUGUACAUGCACAUGCUAUGUGGGUGAAAUUAUGAUACCAUGCCAACUUUCAACUUUUUCAGAGUUCAUUUGAAAUGCUUUAAUGUCUUAGGGUUCGGCCCUCGUUAUACCAUUAAUCCCGGUUCGCUCCUUGUCAACUAUAUUCUCACCAAAAACACUCUCAAGAGGGCAGCCAUGUGGGCCAUUGGUCCCGGUUCAUCUGGACCUUUUGGUCCCGGUUCCACACAUGAACCAGGACCAAUGCGCCUCGCCCCUGGCCCAUGACCAUUAGUCCCAGUUUGUGCCACAAACUGGGACUAAAGGGUUGAUCCUCGUUGCGCUCAGAGUUUAGUCCCUACUCGCAAACCAAAGGGCGCUCACACCGGUUUAUAAGCCCGUCCCUCUCUGCCUUGUUGAGCUCUUCUCAAAGUGAAAAUAGAUGCCCCUAUACAGGGAAUUUGACCUAAAUUCAUAGUGAAUUUCUCUGAAAUUCAUAGAAAUUUAUUAUAAAUUUAGGUUGAAUUUUCUCUAUAGGCACAUCUAUGUUCAUUUUUUUAGUAAAGUUAAUCACAAACUUGUGAUUCACACAAAUUUCAAAGAAUUCAAUUUUUAACUAUUCAAAUUUGAAAACUAAUGGCACUAACAGAAAGUUUAUAAUUUUUCUAAAACUAAUGGCACUAACAGAAAGUUUAUAAUUUUGCUGACCUAAAAGCAAAAGAANNNNNNNNNNNNNNNNNNNNNNNNNNNNNNNNNNNNNNNNNNNNNNNNNNNNNNNNNNNNNNNNNNNNNNNNNNNNNNNNNNNNNNNNNNNNNNNNNNNNNNNNNNNNNNNNNNNNNNNNNNNNNNNNNNNNNNNNNNNNNNNNNNNNNNNNNNNNNNNNNNNNNNNNNNNNNNNNNNNNNNNNNNNNNNNNNNNNNNNNNNNNNNNNNNNNNNNNNNNNNNNNNNNNNNNNNNNNNNNNNNNNNNNNNNNNNNNNNNNNNNNNNNNNNNNNNNNNNNNNNNNNNNNNNNNNNNNNNNNNNNNNNNNNNNNNNNNNNNNNNNNNNNNNNNNNNNNNNNNNNNNNNNNNNNNNNNNNNNNNNNNNNNNNNNNNNNNNNNNNNNNNNNNNNNNNNNNNNNNNNNNNNNNNNNNNNNNNNNNNNNNNNNNNNAACUAAUGACACUAACAGAAAGUUUAUAAUUUUUCUAAAACUAAAAGCAAAAAUAAAUAAAAAAUAAAGCAAAAAACAAAAGAAAAUAAAUAAUGCAGAAAACAAAACAAAAAAACUAGAAAAAAUAAAAAUAGCAACAAUAAGUAAAGAAAACAAAAAAACAAAAAAAGUGCCUCCUACUGGGCCCCACGGCCUGAAUACGACUAGAAAUCCAACAAUGGGCCAGGAUUCAGGCCCGUAGUAAGCGCAGUAGGCCCACAGGCACAUAGAGACAGAUUAGGCCCGAAAGCCUGCUUUAGAGAGGAGCUCGAGCGGGUUGGCGCAUCGCACCUUAUAAACAGGUGCGGCUCUCUAUGAGCUAGCGAGGUGGGACUAAACUCCCACCACCACGCCGUUGUGCAAGGCCCAUUGGUCCCGGUUGGUGGCACCAACCGGGACUAAAGGGGUUCAUUAGUCCCGGUUGGUGCUACCAACCGGUACCAAUGCCCCCCUUUAGUCCCGGUUGGGGCCACCAACCGGGACCAAAGGCGCCGCUUCCCGCCCUUUGGGCUCCCGAAAACUGGCCUUUGGUCCCGAUUGGUGGCACUGGCCAGACGUGACGCAACAUUUGUUUUGUGUCCGUUUUCAUUCCAACCUUGCGUGGGGCCCUACGUAGGCCGUGCCCGCAUGACCGUGCCCACAUGCGAUCACGUACCCCCAGUGCAACGAGCUUCUUUAAGGUCUACCGGAGGGGGGGUUCCCGACUACUUUUUUUUCUGACUCCGCCAAAUGGCACGUAACUUUUUCCACACGUUGGCAUCACCCCCGACAGCACCCACGCCAGUUUGCAUAUUUUUCCGACGCUCGAUGCAUUUCCUAGGAUUUUCCCCGUGAAAAUGUCGUAAAACACUGGCCGGACGUGACGUAACGUUCGUUUUGUGUCCGUUUUCGUUCCAACCUUUUAUGNNNNNNNNNNNNNNNNNNNNNNNNNNNNNNNNNNNNNNNNNNNNNNNNNNNNNNNNNNNNNNNNNNNNNNNNNNNNNNNNNNNNNNNNNNNNNNNNNNNNNNNNNNNNNNNNNNNNNNNNNNNNNNNNNNNNNNNNNNNNNNNNNNNNNNNNNNNNNNNNNNNNNNNNNNNNNNNNNNNNNNNNNNNNNNNNNNNNNNNNNNNNNNNNNNNNNNNNNNNNNNNNNNNNNNNNNNNNNNNNNNNNNNNNNNNNNNNNNNNNNNNNNNNNNNNNNNNNNNNNNNNNNNNNNNNNNNNNNNNNNNNNNNNNNNNNNNNNNNNNNNNNNNNNNNNNNNNNNNNNNNNNNNNNNNNNNNNNNNNNNNNNNNNNNNNNNNNNNNNNNNNNNNNNNNNNNNNNNNNNNNNNNNNNNNNNNNNNNNNNNNNNNNNNNNNNNNNNNNNNNNNNNNNNNNNNNNNNNNNNNNNNNNNNNNNNNNNNNNNNNNNNNNNNNNNNNNNNNNNNNNNNNNNNNNNNNNNNNNNNNNNNNNNNNNNNNNNNNNNNNNNNNNNNNNNNNNNNNNNNNNNNNNNNNNNNNNNNNNNNNNNNNNNNNNNNNNNNNNNNNNNNNNNNNNNNNNNNNNNNNNNNNNNNNNNNNNNNNNNNNNNNNNNNNNNNNNNNNNNNNNNNNNNNNNNNNNNNNNNNNNNNNNNNNNNNNNNNNNNNNNNNNNNNNNNNNNNNNNNNNNNNNNNNNNNNNNNNNNNNNNNNNNNNNNNNNNNNNNNNNNNNNNNNNNNNNNNNNNNNNNNNNNNNNNNNNNNNNNNNNNNNNNNNNNNNNNNNNNNNNNNNNNNNNNNNNNNNNNNNNNNNNNNNNNNNNNNNNNNNNNNNNNNNNNNNNNNNNNNNNNNNNNNNNNNNNNNNNNNNNNNNNNNNNNNNNNNNNNNNNNNNNNNNNNNNNNNNNNNNNNNNNNNNNNNNNNNNNNNNNNNNNNNNNNNNNNNNNNNNNNNNNNNNNNNNNNNNNNNNNNNNNNNNNNNNNNNNNNNNNNNNNNNNNNNNNNNNNNNNNNNNNNNNNNNNNNNNNNNNNNNNNNNNNNNNNNNNNNNNNNNNNNNNNNNNNNNNNNNNNNNNNNNNNNNNNNNNNNNNNNNNNNNNNNNNNNNNNNNNNNNNNNNNNNNNNNNNNNNNNNNNNNNNNNNNNNNNNNNNNNNNNNNNNNNNNNNNNNNNNNNNNNNNNNNNNNNNNNNNNNNNNNNNNNNNNNNNNNNNNNNNNNNNNNNNNNNNNNNNNNNNNNNNNNNNNACCCCCGACAGCACCCACGCCAGUUUGCAUAUUUUUCCGACGCUCGAUGCAUUUCCUAGGAUUUUCCCCGUGAAAAUGCCGUAAAACACUGGCCGGACGUGACGCAACGUUCGUUCUGUGUCCGUUUUUGUUCCAACCUUGCAUGGGGCCCUACGUAGACCGUGACCGCAUGUCCGCCCACUUUAGUGCAAUUGCAUGCAUGCGAUCACGUACCCCUAGUGCAACGAGCUUCUUUACGGUCUACCGGAGGGGGGUUCCCGACUACUUUUUUUUCCUGACUCCACCAAAUGGCACGUAACUUUUUCCACACGUUGGCAUCACCCCCGACAGCACCCACAUACCCCUAGUGCAACGAGCAACGAACUUUGGUGCAAUAGUCUAAAGUUUCAAAAUUUUGUUUAUUUUGUUUGCUGUCGUUUCAUGAUGUUGAUGCCAUUGUAUGUGUUAUACUACCUGGGCUGAUCGACGUGGUGAAAAAACGCACCCGACCGUGUUAUUGUCUCAUGCCAUGUUUUUCCCAUGUUAUUGUCUCAUGCAUGUUUUUCACAUACACGCCGCCACAAACCCGCGCAUGACAGCAGAUCCAAUCCACAGAAUCGCACCUACCUCGCAUCCCAGCCAACAAGCGCCUCCCUCAGAUCCCGCCGCCACGGACCCACCGAAUCCCACCUACCUCGGAUCCCAACUGGCCAACCAGCGCCUUCCUAGGAUCCCGCCACCAUGCACCGACUGGAUCAGCCUCCCUCCCCGCACCCAGCGACUUUGACCCGCCCCAUCGCAUCCUCCUCGAUCUCCCCGCCCAAUGCACGCCUCCAACACGCCCACACAAAAAAUUUGCCCCGCGCGGGCGAGGGGAGGGGGGCAUGGGCCGUGGGAGGGGGCAAGUGGCGCCUUGCCUCUAUGGGCCGGCCGGUGACAGCACAGAAAACGGCCUCAUGAGCCCUACGGCGGCCGCGUGCAUUGAGGNNNNNNNNNNNNNNNNNNNNNNNNNNNNNNNNNNNNNNNNNNNNNNNNNNNNNNNNNNNNNNNNNNNNNNNNNNNNNNNNNNNNNNNNNNNNNNNNNNNNNNNNNNNNNNNNNNNNNNNNNNNNNNNNNNNNNNNNNNNNNNNNNNNNNNNNNNNNNNNNNNNNNNNNNNNNNNNNNNNNNNNNNNNNNNNNNNNNNNNNNNNNNNNNNNNNNNNNNNNNNNNNNNNNNNNNNNNNNNNNNNNNNNNNNNNNNNNNNNNNNNNNNNNNNNNNNNNNNNNNNNNNNNNNNNNNNCGCCCCCCAUUUCGAACUCCUCUAAUCUAAAUCCCCAGUGCCUCGUUGGACCCCGUUGCUGGGCUCGUUAGUGGGCUCGAUCAACCGCCCGAGUCGCCUUCGGGCUUGAUUUGGGUACGUUCUGUAAGCUACUAUGGGCUCAGCAUCGGUGGUUGGGCGUUUUUUUAAUGUAGCUUAAAUUUUUUGCCGGUAUUUUAUGUGUUUACUUCACCUUUUUACGAUAUCAAUCAAAAUAUCCCAUUAAUAACAAAACCGAUAUCAAUAACUGAUACAUUAUACAACGAUUCCAUUACUCAUUAAAGCAACAUAAUUUCGUUCAUAUUUAGGAUAUUUUACAUUUAAACGAAAUUUUACAUGAAAAUAGAUUAACACUAAAACAAAUCUAACUCCUCCUCCUCGCUACUUAGAAGAUCAACCACUACCGUCUGCCCGCCGUCUUCACCGCCGUCUUUGCCGCCAUCUGAGUCAUCGGAACUGCCGAAGUAUCCGAAAAAUUCCUCCGCGGUAGACGACUGCUGCGCUAGUGUAUCAGUCGACUCCCUGAUCGCCUGCCAGUAUCCCGACACGUCUGCCGGGUCCCUCGGGUCAACAACAUCCUCCGGCGGCAUCCAACCGGUCUCCGACGUGGAGUUCCGGAUCGCGCGGAUCAAACCCGGUGACUCCAACGAGUCGCCCUCCUCUUGCAUCGCCGCCAGUUCCGGCGGGAUGUGAAACUCAGGGGCGACCGCUGGAGCGGCGGGAGCGGCCAGUGCGCCUGCGCGAGCGCGCCGACCGGCAUGGGCCUACACGACCGGGGCGGCGGGGGGCGCGAGGGGUGCAUUUGGAGCGUCCACUCGGAUGCCCCGAGACUUGUAGAAGUUGAUGACGAUGUUGAAGUCGCGGCCUUGCCAAAAGUUGAGGUGACCUUCGGUGUUCCACGGACCGGGUUAUGCCGGCCCAGGCGUGGCAUAGCCGUCGCUCGUCACGUGCCAGCCAUGUUCUAGGCGACACGACGGCGGCACGGGGAUGUCGUGCCGGUAGAUAUCCACGGUCUGCGGCCCAGUGAGGCUAGAGGGCCACAGACCGUCUGGCGCGGCGCCGCGUCCACCACCGCUGCCGAUGCGUCCACCACCGCCGCCGCCGCCUCCACCACCGCCAACCGCCUGGCGACUGCUCCCUGCGCCUCCACUGCCGCCUCCCCAGCCGAACCAACACCGGCCGAAGCAUCCGCGUCCACGAGGCAUUGCACCGGAGAUCGAUCGGAGAUCGCUUGGUCGGGGACAGUCUCUAAGAGGAGAGGCGGAGUCGGGGGCGGUUUAUGUGAGGCUAGCGCGCGGGUCGGGGGCGGUUUUGUCACGCCCAAUAUGCGACCCUAUCCAAAAGGAACUCGAAGGUCCCACCAAGGAUAGACCCGCAUAUUGAAACGCUUUUGCAAGGUAGAUAUCAUUACAUCAACAUUACAUAAUAGAUGGGGAUACAUACAUAAGGCAUACAAUGCCACACGAAUACAACAUCACAAUACAUAAGAGCAUCAUCCGACUAUGGAUGAAACACAAACAGAAACUCAAACGACAUCCACCCUGCUAGCCCAGGCUGCCGACCUGGAACCUAUCCCCUGAUCGAAGAAGCAGAAGAAGAACUCAACGCAAGCAAGCAUCGCUCUCGCGUCAUGAUCAUCGCACAACCUGUACCUGCAACUGUUGUUGUAGUAAUCUGUGAGCCACGAGGACUCAACAAUCCCAUUACCAUGGGUAUCAAGACUAGCAAAGCAUAAUGGGAAAGGAAGGGGUAAAGUGGUGAGGUUGCAGCAGCGACUGAGCAUAUAUGGUGGCUAACAUACGCAAAUAAGAGCGAGAAGAGAGCAAAAGGAACGGUCGUCAACUAGUAAUGAUCAAGAAGUGAUCCUGAACUCCUACUUACGUCAAACAUAACACAUAAACCCUGUUCACUUCCCGAACUCCGCCGAAAAGAGACCAUCACGGCUACACACGCGGUUGAUGCGUUUUAAUUCGGAUCUGGUGUCAAGUUAUCUACAACCGGACAUUAACAAAUUCCCAUCUGCCUAUAACUGCAGGCACGGCUUUCGAAAGAUUAUACCCUGCAGGGGUGUCCCAACUUAGCCCAUGACAAGCUCUCGCGAUCAACGAAGGAAUAGACCUUCUCCCAAGAAGACCCGAUCAGACUCGGAAUCCCGGUUUACAAGACAUUUCGACAAUGGUAAAACAAGACCAGCAAGACCGCCCGAUGCGCCGACAAUCCCGAUAGGAGCUGCACAUAUCUCGUUCUCAGGGCAACACCGGUUGAGCAAUCCGUACAACUAAAACCAGACCUCAAGUUUCCCUGAGGGGGCGCUGCAAAGGGCUCUAGUNNNNNNNNNNNNNNNNNNNNNNNNNNNNNNNNNNNNNNNNNNNNNNNNNNNNNNNNNNNNNNNNNNNNNNNNNNNNNNNNNNNNNNNNNNNNNNNNNNNNNNNNNNNNNNNNNNNNNNNNNNNNNNNNNNNNNNNNNNNNNNNNNNNNNNNNNNNNNNNNNNNNNNNNNNNNNNNNNNNNNNNNNNNNNNNNNNNNNNNNNNGAGGAGUUUUAUUCAAAGCGAACUGUCAAGGGGGUCCCAUAAAUCACCCGACCGCGUAAGGAACGCAAAAUCCGGGAACAUAACACCGGUAUGACGGAAACUAGGGCGGCAAGAGUGGAACAAAACACCAGGCAUAAGGCCGAGCCUUCCACCCUUUACCAAAUAUAUAGAUGCAUUAAUAAUAUAAGAGAUAUUGUGAUAUCCCAACCAAAAUCCUGUCCACCAUGGAGCAAUCUUCAACUUCACCUGCAACUAGCAACGCUAUAAGAGGGCUGAGCAAAGCGGUAACAUAGCCAAGCAACGGUUUGCUAGGAAGGGUGUCAAAGGUUAGAGGUUCAUGGAAAUUUGGGAUGGCUUGAUAAACAGGUGAUAGGUAGCGCAGCAUAGCAAUAGAACGAAGCAACUAGCAUAGCAAUGAUAGUAGUGAGAUCCAGGGUAGCGGUCAUGUUGCCUGAAAUCCCGCUAGGAAGAAGAACGAGUCCAUGAAGAAGACGAACGGAAGCAGUCGAAUGAACCCUCACAAUCGCAACAUUACCGGAACUAAGAAGAAACACCAGAAAGAAACAAACAACAUGGUAAAUGCACAAGCAUAAACAUGACAUGAUGCACAAACAAGUAUGAUGCAUGUCCGGUUUAAUGAGGCAUGGCAUGGCAAAGUGCAACAAACAAUACUACAAGUUAAGUGGAGCUCAAUAUGCAACGAGUUGCAUAUUGACAAAACACCACAUGCAAUUAUUUAGUGUGAUCUCAUUUAAGCUACCAAACAAUAUUAAAUGUUGUUAAACAUGGCAAAAGGUGAGGCAUAUGAAAACUACCUAACUAGGCAAGUUUAAAUGAGGCCGGAAACAACAAACAACAAUACCGGAAAAUCCUCAUAUGCAUAUUUUGAGUUUGAUACUGUUCUGCCCUAAACCAAAUUUUAAUGUUGUUAAACAGGAAAAUAAAGUGGACCAUGUUAAUCUAGGCAUUUUCCACCCCAUUUACAUAUAAAGUUUAUUUAAAACCGAGCUACGGUUAUUUAGUUAUUAAAUAAAACAUUUUAGCAUGGCAUUUAAGCAAAAUUAAUCAAACAGCAAUUUAAACAUUUUAAACAUGGAUGAAAGUGGCAUAUUAUUAAUCUACACAAAAUUCUAAGCAUUUUACAUAUAUAAAUUAUUUACAUAUGAUGCACGGUUAAUGAGUUAUUAUAUGCAUGAACAUGGAAGGGUUUUCUGUAAAUCAGUAAAUCCUGGAUAAUUGCUAAAAUCGCAGAAUGGGAAAAAAACAUGCAUGGGCCGAAUCUGCCUAGCCCAAUAGUGGAAAGGCCAGGGGGGCUGGGGGGACUGCUCACCAUGGGCCAAGCCCAGGUCGGUGAGGAGGCCAAGGCAGGCCGGAUCUGGCGGAGCUGGGCCUUGCUGGCUGCUGACCUAGCCGCGGUCAACAGGCAUCGGGCGACCACGCCCUCCCUGAAACAGGAACUGCUCGAUGCAGGGGAAGCAGAGCUUGGCGCGGCGGAGCUUGCUGCUGGUUCGGGCGACGACGACAGCUUGGGCCUUGGCGCCUGGGACUUGGACGAGGAGCCCGGCGAAGCGGACGAGGCGCAGGGCGGCGGCGGACCUGGCGCUGGCAUCUCCCGGCGACGAGUGGAAGGACGAGGGGGACGGAUCCGGCGAUGGGUGGCUGAUGGUGAUGCGAGCGCCGGGAACAGGCAGAUCAGGGCAAGGGGGUCUCGGAUCUGGCGCAAGGGAGCUCCGAGGCAGUGGAAACUGCUGGUCCGGCGGCUCUGCCCGUGGAGGUGGCCGAUGGCGCAGCUUGGACAGCGUCGAGGCGGGAAAGAAGCAGAGGGCUCGGGCUGCGGCUGCUGGCUCCUGCGGGCACGGACGAUGAUGGCUGCGGGCGGCCGGACGCGUCCAGGACCAAGGGAGGAGGAGGCACGAGCAGGGACGAGGCCGGCGGCGUGGCUUUGGUGGCUGGGUUCGCCGGCGGGGUGGAGGAGACAAAGACGGGUCGCGCUCGGCAAUAGAGGGGGGCAGAGGCGUGCUAGACCGUGGCCUCGAUCCAUCCUGGAUCGGGCGCCGGCUGGCUGCUGUACGAAGGCUCGGCGAGGGGUGGAUCGGGAAAGAGGCUGGCGAUUGGCUCGGUGGGGAAUGGGAGGAUCCCGAGGUGGAUGCGGGAGAGAGGUGGCGGCGGCGGCUAGGAGGAUCCCUAGAAAUUAGGGAUUUGGUCUUGGUUUAGACUAGUAUAUAUAGCGGGUAGGUUGGUUUAUAUAAGUAGCUAGGUGGACUAGCUUAGGGGCAAAAUGGACCCUCCGAUUAAAAUUGAACGGUCGAGAAAAACAUAGGUAGGGAGUCCAAAUAAGAAAACGGAGAUGUUUUCUGGAUGUUUGGGGAUGAUUCGGAUCCAACAGUAAUGACAGAGCGGGUCGGGUUCGGGACAACUUUCGGGCGCACACACGAGGGGGGUAUGUGGUUGUGCAGCGAGGUUAGGUGGUUUGACAAGAGGGAAACGCAAGCACGAUUGGUCUCGGAACGGUCAACGAAAGCAAGGGCGGGACACGACAACUACGAGCAGAAACGGGUUUUAUGAAAACAUAUGGAUGCGAUGCACAUGAUGCUAUGAUGAAAUGCACGACAUGAGAAAAAAAGCAAAACGAAAUACAAAACCCAACCACGGAGGAAAUGACAUAUCGCAUCUCCGGAAAAGGCAAGAGUUGGAGUUACGAAUAUGGAAAGUUGUAUCCGGGGCGUUACAACACUCCAUCACUACGAGAGGAUCUCGUCCCGAGAUCUAGUAUGGCACUGGAGAGAAAAGGAAGAGGAAGAUAAGAGGUAAACUAAGUUGCUUCUUCGACAAACGAGUGAAACCAUGAACCUUGAGAGGUUGAGCAAAAUGAAAGAAAGAAAACAACGAAGAUGGACGAGAUUGCAAACAAUCCGUUAGAAAAUAGGAACAAGGAACAUUACUAGAACUUGACGGUUGCAAAGACACGAAUCAAGAGUUUAAUGGACAAGAUAGAAUUCGAAACCACUCCGGUUAAAACAAGAUGAGAGAGGAAGAAUUCGGGCAGCACUCCGGUUGAACAUGGAAGGAAAAGAACAUGAACUUGAGAAGAUGGGAAGAUACUUGAUGAAAUCAACAACACACUGCCUCCGGAACUAUUGAAAGAAUGGCACAAGGGGUAGAAAAGAUUUCAGACAGCUCUCCGGUUGAGGAAGGAGGCAAAACUAGAUAAGAUGAGAGAACUCGAAUGAAAACACGACACUCCGGUUAAAUGGAUAAGAAAGAAAAGAACACAAUCCUCACAAUUCGAGAUGAUGAGUGAAAAGAGCAACAUCACAAUGCCUCCGGGAGAAAGAAUAGAAGAUAGAUCAUUGAAAUAAAAGAAUGGAGAAGAAAAUGCCAACUUCUGCCACAAAUGAGCUUGGAAAGCACCCUUGCAAAGAAGAAUUGAACGGAGUUGUUGGAAAAUCAACAACGAAAAAAAUAAGCUUGUAGUGGGCUUAUGGAAACAUCUCAAGACUAUGAGAUGACAUUCUGCCACUAACGAAAAAAACAAUUGCUUGUUUAAGAUCAACGAAGAGAUGAAAAACCUCUUUCACCGAGAAAGAUAUGGAGAAAGCUUGGAUCAAUGAUAAGCACCACAAAUAGCAACAUUCCCAGUGGAAGGCUUUAGGUGAAAUAUAACCCAAGAUAACUCCAACAAAGAGAUUGAUGGAUUUAAAAUACCUCAUUCUUGAAAACAAUAUGAAUCAUGAACCAUGAAGGAAAUUGUCAAGAGUGACAUAACACCACCACAAAAGAUAAGGUAGAAAGAAUUGCACUUCAGAAUGCAAGAUGAAGAAUACUUGAGCUCCUCAAAACAAAACAUGUGUUGAGCACCAUGUUUAUUUUAGAGUAAAGCUUGGUGGGUCAUAACUUCAAGAGAAAUCUUGAAGAACAAUUGAAGAAUGAAAAUAAUCCUUGACGAACCACCAUGUAGAGCCUCCAUGAAGAACUCCGGUAACAAAAGGAUGAUGAGAUAGAAAUGAAGGAUGAAAGAAUAAGAUGAGCCUUCCGAUGAUUUAGAUGGAGGUUCCGACGAAAUGGCUGAGGAAAUUGAACUUCAGAAAAGAAAUGAUGAAAACACAUGAAACUAGAAUUUAUUCCUCACGAACAAACUCCAAAGGAAAGGAUUAAUCACUUUGAUGAAAUAAGAAUAAGAUUUAUUGUAUGCUUAUCCUUCAUAAAAUUAAAUUGAUGACUAGCAAUGGA
rnacentral:lncRNA from 1 species